rnacentral:lncRNA from 1 species
CUUUACCAAAAAAAAAAACAUUUCUACAAAUAAUUUUCCAUGAUUAUUUGUCUGUCUGCCUUUAACAAACACGAGUGCUUGCACGACGGACAAUCACACGGAAACAUAUAUACGUCAAAAGUGAGAAUGCGUUUCCCAUCAAACUGAAGAGAGCUAGAUAAGUAAAUUGAGGGAAGACUUCAUUGUCGAGAGCACUCACGUGACUGAGUCUCCUCAGCAAGGUCAUAAGCCGAGACCUGCGCGGCCAUGAGAAGGAGAACGGCCAGAAGCAGGCCGCACAGGAGGAAAACCCUGGAGGAAGCCAUUUUCAUCGCUCAAGGCUAGCGGAUCACCAGAGAAAUCUCAAGGAAGACUACCCAAGUGAGUGCGUGGCUCAACUGCGAACUGGGGCGCCCUAUUUAUAGGGUGGGAAGUGGGAGUACAGACGAGGGGGUAUGAGCUGUAGCGGGACCCACACGAUUUGUACGGUUGUGAUUUGCUUAAAUCCAGAGGAGAUGCGGCCCAAAGGCUUCCCGUCCAAGAGUCAAAGAUAAGAUUGAGGGUGCGUUUGGAUGGGUACCGGAUGGGCUACUCAGGCCCCAAAGCCCUUUUACCCCAAAUUGAGAUGUUUAGCGAUCAUUCUCCAAGGGCUUUCAAGUGAAAGUCGACCCUUGGGAAUGGCCUCAUUUAAUGAAAAUGGUAAGUUGUCUAUUUUGCCCUUAAAACAUUAUGAAAAAACCACUUUUGCCCAUUUUAAAAACCAAAAGAAUCCUAAAUCUUGUUUCUCUUCCCACCCUUCCAUUGCUCUGCACCCUCCGCUCUCUCCCUCGUGACGACCGCUUCUUGCUCGACUAUCGCUCGAUUGCGCUUUUCCUUUGCUCAUUGAGUUCGUCUCUCCUCUCUCCCCCUCGCUCCUGAAACCCAGUGUUCCCAGUGAGGAAGGGGGGAGUCGGUGGUCUUGGACUGCGGCCGGUGGAGGAGCUCCUGCGGGUACUACAAAUCCCCGAGUGGGUCCAGCGUUUCUCACGGUCUGUACGAUUUCUCCUUCGUUUCUUGUGGUUUCCCUCCUCUCCCCUGUUGUUGAGUGCGGUUUUUUGCCCGGGCUUCGGUGGCUUGAGACUGGAGAUGCCAUGCUUCGGGUUUGCCUGUUUCCGGCUUUAGCCGUUUGUCGUGACGUUCACGGUUGCUGGAAUUGCUGAUUCGCGUUUAGUCUCUAGUUCCAAUCUGAUGCUUCAUUGCGUGCGUCGGUUUGCGCUAACGAUUUUUUCCCAUUUCGGGUUGUUUGUUUUUUAACUCGCUGCUCAUCAUGUGUUCGUUGAAAUGGCCGAACCAAGUUAGCGUAUAGUUUCAUUCCGUUUCUGGGUUUAUUGUUUGCUUGGAGUUUUAUGUUUCAAUGCCAAGUGAGAGCUAUUAUACUAGAGCAAAGAUCACGUUUGCCAAUCACUCGUGAAAUGUACGAGUUGUAGGCACUGCAACAGUGUUUUGUCUCUUCAUGUAAUUGAUGGAUUUAGGUUGAAUUCUACUGAAAUGUAUUAGCAUUUGGACAUUGACCCGUGGGGGUCCUUGAGGAGAUUUCCUAUGUGGUAGCUCUCUUAGCAUUUAGGGGAAGUUAAGUCGUACUUGUUAAGGUUGUAUUAAGGUGUACAUGUUUAAUUCAAUUCUGAACGCAAGAAGAAAAGAACUUCCGAGUCUGUAGAUGAGUAGGAUGGUCUAUGGGAGGUGUCCGUGGGAAAUAUACUGAAUUGUAGAGUUUAUAAAAGUACUUAUCAGGUCUGGUGUUGCGAUCAUCAGCAAUGUGAAAGUUAAUUUUUUUUUCCUGGUUGUUGUGAGACAGUUGAACGGGGACUGUGGAGCUUAGAAAACUGGGCAUAGAGCACCAACUUUGGGAAGCGUCUCGCAAAGAAAUUGGCAAUGCCUCUUCUCUCUCGGCAGGCAACCACAACCAUGGAACAGACUCAGAUAUCUCUCAUGAGUAAUGUCAUGGGUACUUAUGAUCCACUCGUCAAUUAGUUUUUCAUUUGUUGUUGAUUUAUAGUUCUUUCGAGUUCAGCUUUCUUUUGUUUAUAUUGCUUCGCCACAUGAAGUGCCAUUCUUAUGUAACUGCAAGAUAUUCGAAAUUUUGUAAUGUCUAGAGCUGUGAGAACUGUACAAUACCGACAGAGAAUUCACUGUGAGAUGUGAAAGCUUUCUUUGGAGGCUGUUGGGUUCUGCAUCGUUGAUUUAAAUAAAAGUAUUUUGUCCUUCAUUAUUGCAUAUAUGGUUGAACUUGUAAAAGUGAAGAGCUUGAGGAGGGUCUUCCCGGAUCUCAUUAUCAGACUAGCCUUGUCUGUGGUAGUUAGUGCGCAUUGGCAGUACUCUCUGCUUUUCUCACUUGCAGAGGGAGCUUGGCUUGCUAAUAUCGAAUUUAGCUUUCUGAGUUACGAUAGGGUGACCCACCAUUUAAGAAUCCGACUUUUGUGAGAAGGUUAUAUCAUUACGUAGCCCCCCCCUCCCCAUAGUAGUCAUCAUCCUACCUUUUGUAUCGAGGCAUGAAAAACUAAUAUCGAAUUUAGCUUUCUGAGUUACGAUAGGGUGACCCACCAUUUAAGAAUCCGACUUUUGUGAGAAAGGUUAUAUCAUUACGUAGCUAUUACAAUAUCUGGAAUCUCACAAUGUAACAGCAACAUGAGCAAGUGGAGGAAAGCAAUUCACGUUAGGCUGGUUAACACCAAAGAAAGAACGCACUUUAAGAAAGCUGGCUUAUUAAACUCGAUGGACGACAUGAACUAUUAUCAUCCCUAAGCAGUGCAUUUGAAUUUGCAUAACACAGACAAAAACUAUGCUAAGUAUUCAUAUACAAAGCAAGUGAAAAUUGUGAUAGCACCAAUGAUUUUGCACAAUUAUAUAUGAAGAAAUGCCUUGAAUGAUGCACAUUUUACUAGAGUGGAUUUGGAUCCCGAUUUAUAUACAACGGAUUCUGAUGAUAUAAGUGAGGAGGGUAAUACUUCAAAUGAUAAUGUAACAUCUGAUAUCGCACGUUUAUAUGAUCAAAUAACUAUGAAUUUAGGAAAUAAUUAAUGAUAUUUGUAAUUUUUAAGGAUAAUGUCAUUCUUUCCUCAAAGCAUAUGUUAUCAUGUUUUUAUUGUAAUGAAAGUAUUCUUCUUGUAAUUGAGAAAAAGAGCACGUAAAUUUUUUCCAUUUGAUUUUUUUUAGCAAAAAAAGAAAUUUUAAUUUUAAUAAAAUUAUUUACACAACAUCUUUAACAUUGUUGUCAAAUAUAAAUUUAAAAAGUUACAAACAUUUUUUUAAUUUUAAAAAAAUAAAAAUAUUUAGAUUAAUCACCAAAGGGGCUUUACAAGUGUGCUUUCUACCAAAUAACAUUUCUUUCAAAGUUGAUUUUCAAAGCAAAAUUUACCAAACAAUUUUUGCAUUUCCUCCAAAGCCCUUUAGGCUAAACUGCUUUGCAUUUUCUCAAUGAGCUUUCCAAAUGCCAAACCAAACGCACCCAUUGAUUAAGUGCCGUGGCGAGUGGAAGCUAACGAUUCGUCACACAAGUUCUUCGAGGUCAGUAAUGUCUGGAUCUCUUGCUACGAGGCAUUAGUCACAAUCUAGGGGGGGGGGGGGGGGGGAAUUCAACGAUGCGGCACAUGGAGUCAUUAUAUAUUCUGUGCCCUCUCUAUUGCACCCCAACUGCUCACGCUUGACUGAUUCCGAUAGCUUCUUUUCCUGCCAAAAUAUAAUGGAGGGCUUGUGAAAGGUCGAAAAGAACAUUAACAAAAGUUUGAUGGAGUCACGAACUAAUUGAACACGCAACAUCACUAAAUAUCGUAGCGAUAAGAUGUUACCCAUUUUCACUUGAAUUAUCAACAUGGUAGUGGAUUGAAAUAUUAUAUUCAAGGCCGGUUCGUCUGUGUAUCUUUGUGCAUGCUGUAUCUCACAUUAAUUGCGCUUUGAGCGGUUAGGUAUGGAAGGCAUAAAGAGAACCAAAUGCCUACGUCCUUCCUCACGUCACCCGUUGUCCUACAAGGGACGGGCUUUGCACCAACACGUUGGAUCCUCAAUCUACCUCAACCACAAGUACCGGUUGCAGACGUUCGUCUUAUUUUUCCAUGCACUGCACGAUUCUCUCUCUCACUAGAUAUCACAUCGCCGACACAAAAGUUUGAAUAAAUGAAUAGAGAUUUAUGAGAGAGCUGGACCUAUGUUCAAUCUACCUCAACCACAAGUACCGGUUGCAGACGUUCGUCUUAUUUUUCCAUGCACUGCACGACUCUCUCUCUCUCUCACUAGAUAUUAAAUUGCCGACACAAAGUUUGAAUAAUUGAAUAGAGAUUUUUGAGAGCUGGACCUACGUUGAAUCCACAAGACAAAAGAAUAUGAGUGCCCAUUCAAUUUUUUAAAGUGAAUGAUUGAUUUUGUCCAUCAUGUUAUAAUGAUAUGAAAUCUAUAUUAUUGGCAUUUCAUUUGUGAAUAACGAUAUCGUGGUCCCAUGAUUUUGCCUCCAUCCAUAUGUUACCAUUGAUGGAUGUCCCUAAAUAGAUGUAGCUUACAUAUCUGAUGUGGUUCGGUCUCUAAGUGGGACUUUGCAUCUCGAGAAAAGACUUUACCUCCAAAAAUUUCCACCUAAUGAAAAUAUUGUUUGGUAAUCAAUGUAAAAUAUACUUUUAAAAGCAACUUUGGACUGACAAGCCCUAUCUUCUCUCCCAAACCCCAACCCCCUUAAAUUCAUUACAACCGUUGCCACCACUUACCGGCGGCCACACCACCAUCCAGACCAGACCGAGACCUCCCCUUGUCCACUGAGAAAAUAUUGUAUGGUCUCGGAACGCCAGGUCACCGUGCACCCCAACCAAUGAGAAAGUGACGCGUGGCUCCACGUGAGCACGAGCGGCCCCACUGAUUUUUCUGCACAAAAUAUAUUAUUUUCCCUUUUCUAUUUAAAAAUUUACUGUCAUCAUAGACUUGUUGCUGCUUUUUUCUCUCUUUAUCUUUUUUUGGAGUAGGCCUGCACGCAUUAAUGGCGCUUUCUCUCUCCUCCUUUCUGAAGAACCAAUGGCCUUACGCUACAGCUUCCCUUCCCUCCUUUCUUUUCUUCUCAAUUCAAAAUUUUGGGUGAGAAUUCACUCUCUACGUUGCGUUGCUUCUCCGGCUUGUUCCGGGGUUGGGUCAUCUUUGCUCUCUGGCCCAAAGCACGUUGCUCCUCCGCCUUGCUCCGACGCUCACUCAUCUUCGCUCUCUGCCCCAAAGCUUGUUGCUUCUUCGGCCUACGUCAUUGUGUUCUUUCUCCGCCUUGCUCCGGUGUGGUUUCCAAGCGCAAGAUGGUGAGGAAUGUUCUUGCUGUAAGUCGCAGACUCCAAGCGACAAGAAGUUGCAGCUCUCUCCGAUUUGGCUUCGGAUUUGCUACGUUCGUGGCUCGUAACGGUGAGUGUUUUUUUUUUUUAAUUUAUUUUGGUUGGUAUAACAGUGAGUUGAUUUGGCGAAUGCUUGCUGUAACCGGCUGCACAAGCUGCUGGUGAAGAAGAUGGAGGGUUGGACCGGCAUGUGUAGCGACAAAGGUGGAGAGAGCGAGUGGAGGAAGGUGAUGGAGGCGUCGUGCGGAAAGAUGGACGAGGAGGUUGGAGGGAAUGGGGGGGACGCGUCGAUGAGGAUGGCAAGGUCGACGGUGGUGGUGGCAGUGGUGGGUAAGGAGGUGGCGAUUUGAAACUUCCAAUACGAUUCAAUCGUUUCAGGCGAUCGAAUUUCUAUCAUUUCAUUUCAUCCAAAUGAGAUCAUAAAUGAGGAGAGUUAUGGCUUUCGGCAUUUUGUAAGUUUGACAAUAAAGAGUGCCUGAGUGAUAUGGUUCCUGAUCAGUUUUUUUUUUUUAAGUGACAAAUGCACUAGACGUAUUAAAAUUUAUCAUGAAAAUAUAAUAAAGUCUUAAAAUUUCUAAGAUUUAAUGGAGUUUUAAAAUUUAUCACAAAAAUAUAAUCAAGUCUUAAAAUUUCAAAGUUUUAAUCGAGUCCUAAAAUUUCAAAGCUUUGUAAGUUGUCUAAUUAACGGAAUGGAAAGCAUAUUAAAUUUGGAGGAUGAGCAUAGUAAUUGAAGAACGCCACCGCCUGUACGCGCUUCAUAAUUGACCGACUUGGUGGGCAUACGGUUUGUUGAGCACGAUGUUGAGGAGGUUUCGCUGGAUAGAUCUUAAGGAAGGAAUUCCGCAUGAACAUGAUAGGAUCAAACUUGUCCUGAUCUUACACUUGGUUUUCGCUUAAGGAUUCUCUCGUAUAAUGUCAUGAGUCGUAACGGCUAGAGUUAUAUGCGGUGAAAUUGACGAGGUUUAUACAAUUUUUUUGGCACGUUGAGAUUCAUUUGGUAACGUUUCUGUUUCGAAAAAUAAUUUUUUUUUUCAAAAAUAAUCCUUUUCAAUUUCUAUUCAUCGGAAUAAUUUUUUUUUUUUUAUAAAAAAAGACGUUUAGUAACUAUACAAAAUUUCUAUUAUCAAAAUAGUAAAAGAAUAGGAAUAUAUUCGGUACAAUUGACAAAAUUUAUUAUAAUGUAGAAUUUCUUUUCCUUGGGAUUCAUUUAGUAAAGCUUCUAUUUCGGGAAAUAAUUUCUUUUCAAAAAUAGUCGUUUUUAUUUCUAUUCCCCUAAAUAACUUCUCAAUAAAAGAACGCGUUUAGUAACUAUACAAAAUAUCUAUUAUCGGAAUGGUAAAAUAAUAUGAAUAUAUUUGGUACAAUUCACAAAAUUUAUUAUAAUGUAUAAUUUCUUUUAAUUUUUUCCUUAUUCUUCCUUACGGCCAUUGCCGAUGACCACCAAUGACGCCGCCUGCCACUCGUCACCAUCGGUCGCCGUGGAUCUGUAGUCAACCGCGGUUGUUGGUGGUAGUGAACAACGGGUAGCGGCAAUCGGUGGCGGCAGGUGAUGUCGUUGGUGGUCAUCCAUGGUGGGGGUGGUCGGCGGCAGCGACAUCGACAAUCAUUGGCGGCGACAACGUUUGGCAACGACAACAGUAGGUCAACAAUGGUGGGCAACGAUGGUUGGUUAGCGGUAGGUGACAAACGAUAGAGGGGGGUGGUAGUCGAUAAAGAAGAAAAGAAAAUAAGAAAAUAACUUAUUUCUAUAAAUUAUUUUCGAGAAUAAGAAAUUACUUUUUUCUACUUCUUGUUUUUAUUCCAAAUCUAUUCCUCAACCACUUUUCUAUUUCAGGGAUCAAAAAAAUUAAUGACGUUACGAAACGGAUUUUUAUUUUUUUUUGUUCUGAGGAACAGAAGAAUAGAAAUUAUGAAAAUAGAAACGUUCCCAAAUAGGGUCUUGAUGGUUAGAUGGGAUAAGAACAAACGAUAAUAUGCCAAUUUGCCGACUAGAAAAUGAUAUAUUGUAUCUUGCAGCAAUGUGCUCCAUCACUAAUUGUAAAAAAGAAAAUUAUCAAAACAAUUCUAAACUUAUUGCAAUUUUUUUAAUUUAAUCAUAAUUUUUUUUUGUCAAUUCAAUUUUAAAUAUUUUGCAUUUGUGCUAAUUCAAUCUAUCCUAUAAAUUUUGGUAAACGGGUGCUAAUAUGGAUGCUAGUCAACAAUGGCUAUUUAGUCAACGCUGAUAUGUCAAUUUUUAAUAUAUAUAUAUAUAUAUAUAUAUAUUUUUUUUUUUUUUCUCUCUAUUUUUUUUCUCUUUUCUUCUUCUGUUGGCUAGUAGCUAGAGGUUAGGGCUAGUGAGGUCGACCUCACGAUGCUAGCCAAGGUCUCGCCUAGCCAAAUUUGGGCAAUCUCAACCUUGCCUAGCGAUAACGAGACUAGCCUUUACCUUUUGCCCUUGUUGUUGUGGUGCUGGCUAAGGUCUUGCCCAACUAGAUUUGGGUGAGGACGAGCCUCACCAUGGUUGGGCAAGCUCGACCAGCCCUCACCCUUGCCGACAUGGAGCUUGCCAAGCCAUAUUUGAGCGAACUAAACCUUGCCCUCGCCACCCCCUAGUCCAACCAAUGAGAUUGACUUUGCUGGCCUUAGUCUUUGGAUAGGUGAGAAGAAGGAUAAAAGAGAAAAUGAAAAAUUAAAUAAACUAAAAAAUUGAAACGAUUGAGGACAUAAAUAUUAAAUUUUUUAAAAUUGAAUUAAUAAAGGAAUGAUUAGGGUCAAACCGGAAAAAAUGCAAUAAAAAACUUGAUGAUGACUUGAGUAGAAAAUGUGAUGAAGUCAGCAACAUGCCUUUUCGGAAUUGGCGUGCCGUUGUUAGUCAAUAUGGCGAAGUCCUUUUUUUUUUUUUAAGUUUCUUUGGUCAAUAAAGACAGCUUCUUCACGCUGGCCAAAGAGGAAUUUGUGGUGACUAAGGGCGCGUUUGGUAAUAAUUUUAUUCCCAAGAACAGAUUGUGAUAUGGAAUGAUUAUUUUUUAUUUUGUUCCCGAGAACAAUUUCUAGGCAUUUUAAACUGCUUGGUAACUAUUCAAAAUUUCUAAUUCUGGAAUAGAAUUGCGUUUAGUAUCGUACUCAUUAAUUCUGUUCCAAAUCAAUUUCUUUUAAUUUUUAAAUAAUUUUUUUUACUUUUUACUUUUUUACUUUUUUUCCUUUUUCUCAUAUUCUUCUUCUUCUUAUGGCCGAUCGCCGAACCCGGCGAUCGGCCAGACGAGGGCCGGCGACCUCACCGGACCGUCACCAGCCCUCGUCGACCGAGCCUUGCCAAUAGUUGGGCAAGGCUCACCCAGCCCUGCCGAGGCUUGGCCUCGCUGGUGGCUAGGCGAGCCCCGCCUGGCCACCGGCUCACCUGGCCACCGGUGAGGCUUGCCCAAGCUCGGCCACUAGCGGGGCUGGGCGUUGCGAGGCAAGCCUCGCCGGGGCCAAGCGGGCCUCGCCCAGCCACUGACGAGCUCGCCGGACCGAUUCCGGCGACCGGCAGCAGCGUACGGUGGGGGACGGCGGUGAACGGUGGCGGUGGGAUGGCGGUCGAUGGCGGUGGGACGGCAGUCGAUGAAGAAGAAGAAAAGAGAAGAAGAGAAAAUAUCAGAAUAAAAAGAGUUGGUUUUGAUUCUUUGAUUUGUUUCCGGAACAAAAAUCAACUUUUUUUUUUAUUCUUGAUUCUGUGCCAAAUCUACAUUCGGGAACAAAAAAUUUACCAAACGCGAUUAUGUUCCAAAACUACUCCCGAAAACAAAAAAAUCAGAAUCGGGUACUAUUUGGAUGAUUACCAAACAACCCCUAAGUAGUUUAAUAUUGUGCAACAAGCAUCUUUGAUGCGCCACCAUCAUAGCUCAACUUUAGUUCUUGUUCUGAUUUGACUGUCUGACUCACAUGAUUUAUGCCCGGACAUAACCGUGGGAUUAAUUUAUACCAAGGCCAGUCGAAUGUUAUACCACGUUUGGCGCAAUGAAAUAGAACGGGAAAAAAUAAAACAUAGUUGAGGAAGGAAUGGAAUAGAAGAAGCAUUAUAAUUCUUGUAGUUGCUUGUUACGAUGGAAUAAGGUAAAAGGAAUUUGUCGAUUCCUUUUUUUGGGUUGAAAAAAAUUGAAAUGGAAGGAAAUGGUAUCGAAAUGUCUAAAUAAUCUCAAAAAUGUAUAUAUGAGGAAGAAAAUAAGGGAAGCGCUCAAAGUAAUUAUUGUGAUGAUGUUAUUAUUAUCAAGGUCAUUUUCAUGGGUGGAGCCUUGAAGUGGGCAUUUUUCCUCUUAUUUGGUGGAAUGCUCAUGUUAUGCAAGGAGGUUAUGCUCAGGGUCAAAGGGGUUAGCUUGCGAUAUACGAAACAACAAUAGACAGCAAAUAAAAAUGACAUAUCAAGAAAACAGUUGCCAAUAAAUGAGCAAUAUAGAUCGGCCUUAGUAGCAGGAUUGUUCGUAAGUACUUAUGGAUAGAGAAAGUAGCAGUAGGACGGAUGAUCACUUAUGUCAUCUAAACUUAGAAUUUUCCAGUCUUGGUUAGCUGUCAACACAUUCAAUUAUGUCUCCUCUCUCCUUCAAUUGGGUUGAGUUGCAUAUAAAGUUUACUCUUAUUUUAUGAUAAUAACAAUUCAUGUUUUGAAGUUAAUUACUAUAUGGCUUUCUUAAUACUAUUGUUAUGAAUAUGCAUUCUAAAUCUUUCAGAAGAAAUAAUAGGGGAAAUGUAAUUACGCUUGAAAUAAAUAUUCAUAUUGGAAUAAUUUUGUUCUAUCGAACACAAUCUCAUUUGAACAACAUGAGACAAAACACAAAUUGUAGAAAGACAAAUCCGAAUACAAUAUAACACGGUACACAAUUUCAUAUAUUAAUAAGAAUUAAUGUAUAUAAUAAUUUUUCAUCCUAAUUCAAUUAUUCAAUAUUGGUGGAGGAAAUUAUGAGAAUUGCUUCCAAUUAUUGAAUGCCAAUAUUUUCUCACCAGUUAGGCCCAACCGUACCACUUUCCCUUCACGUGGCUAGUACUUCUAGUUCUUAAUGAAAAGACGCAAACCAAGAACGGAUUUGCCUAUUCAUCCCGCAUAGACAGACAUCAUCAAGUCUUUUAUGGUCGAAAGACAUCAUCAAGUUAAGACGCACGAUACCUUAAGGAAAGAGACGGGGAGCGCCUAGCAGAAGAGAGAUAGGGAAAAUGGAAGAGGAAGCAGGGAACUUCAUCAACGUGUGGCUCACGGUCCUCUCGUGCGUGUGCUACUACUACUUCGUCUCCUCUAGCCUCCUGCCGGGCAAGCUCCGGCUCUUCUCUCUCCCCCAUCUCUCCCUAUAGCUGUGCUCCCCUCGGCUCUCCACUGUCCUCCCACCGGCAUCACCUCUUCUUCAUCACCUAGCUCGCCUCCUUCAAGCUCCUCCUCUUCUCUUUCGGCAAGGGCCCCCUCUCCUCCAGUCUCGAUUCCCAUCCCGACCCAUCAAAGUCCCUCUUCCUCUUCAUACUCUUCACAUGCUUCCCUAUCAAAAUCAAGCAAGCGCAAGACUACCCUGUUGGAUGCAAAUCGCGCAAUCCCAAGAUCUCCAUAACCAUAACAAGAACAUGCAUAAUUGAGUAAAAAGAUUAAUGUACCUAUUUUGGGAUCCAUCGUUCUUGAAGCGAAAGUGGAAACACAAUAUUCCACGUGUAAGUCAUUCUCCUCUAUUGCCCUCCAUAUCACUGGCUCAAUGAGGCGGUCCCCUCACAUUUAGCGUUAGAUAAACACUCCUUAGGUGAUGAUACAUAUGAGAAUUAGGGUUAGAUGAGAGACUUGAGCACUAUUUAUAGAGUUUCCAGCCAUGCCCCCUCAUUAUAGGCCAGGCUCAACUCGGCCCACACUAGCCAACCCCAUAUUAGACUAAUUAAGAAACAUUUUAUCUCACCUUAUACCAACCAUGUUUUACGGUAACCGUAAAAACAGUAAAUUAUAAUAUCAAUUAAUGUAGUCCACAUUAGGAGAACUCUCACAUUCUCCCACUUGGACUAUAUUAAUUGAAAUCAUACUGUAUAUGUGUACAUUUGGUCCAGAGAUAAUUCUUAAUAGUCAAUCAUAUCCCAUAAAGUCUUAAACACUGAAUCAUUGCGGCAAUUGCAUGUAUACACACAAAGCCUUCCAUGGUCACGAGUGCUCUCUGAUAUAGCUAGUAUAAGUACCUAGAGGGGGGGUGAAUAGGUAUAACAAGUAAUUUCUAAUGAUUAUCGCACAAUACUAGACAGUUGAUAGAAAUGAGACAACUUUUCCUCGUCAACAAACAAACAACGAUCAAAGUAAGAUUGAGAGUAGGGAAGAGAAAAUUGAACACGCGGUUUAUAGUGGUUCGGCUUAUUUCAAGCCUACGUCCACUCUUCUGCACUGACAGCCCACUGGCUGGAUUCCACUAUGAACAAAGAGAUAUUACAGUACUGUUCUUCCUUGAUUUCUUGGUGUAGAAGAUCUACCACACUCUCUCAAGGUAUCACAAAGUAUAAACUCUCUUUGUGUGUACAGUUUUGCUCAAUAUGAAUCGACUAAUAAUCAAAGAGUUUCAGACUCUGGAAUUUCUCUAUCGAGCACACACUAGAAUAACUGAAACGUCUUCUUUUUAUACUCAUUUAUGCCAUCAUACCCGUUGGCACUUACCAAAGGAAUUCUUCCAAUCUUCCCGUUGGACAGAAUCAAUUAAGAAGGUCAUUCGAGCUAUUUAAGGAACAUGUCGAUAGCCCAUCAAUCAUGUUCGCCCAUACAAUCAGGAUCUUGGUUUCCAAGAAUAGAACCUUCCAAGAAUAUUUCGUCAAUCAUCGGAUCUUCAAACGAUCUUGAUUUCGAAUAAAUAAUCCGAUGUAUCAAAUCCAGCCAAGAGAUCUUCUCCAGACGAUAAGACCAAAUCCUUAACCAAACACUUUAGCUCUGGAUCGUCUUCGUCACUGGAUUAGAAACUGUCAAUGAGAAUAGUCUUGAGUCUUGAGUCUUGUGUGCUGAGUUUGGUGAUUUGAAAGUCUUCAGACUCAAAGUACAAGGGUCUGCACAGCUUCCAGACUGGACUGAUAGAAACGUUUUGUCAGCUUCAAAACACUCUAGAGAGAUUUCUCCAACAAUCUCCCCUUUUUUGAUGGUGACAAAACUUUCCUGUAGAUUUGAACAACUUUGACCUGCAAAAGCAUUUACUCAAGCAGUAUGGAUAUCUCAUAAAGAUUAAUAACUCAACUAGACUCUGCAUCCACAGAAAAUAGGUUAGUCUUUCAUGAGUAAAGACAUACAAUAACACUUGAUAUAAAUAAUGCAACAGUCAAUUUCAAAUCCACAUACUCAAGUCAGUCAAAUUCACCAAGUCCACCACACCCAAGUCAUACUCAAAAAUAAAUAUCCAAACAAACUGAAAUUAAAGAUAGAUAAAAUCAAAGUUAUCAAAGUUCAGUUCAAAGCUGGCAAUUCUCCCCCUUUUUGUCAUCAUUAAAAAGAUGAGAAAGAGUCAAGUCUGCUUGGGAAUGCGCACAAUCUGGAAAUCUCCCAUCGACUGUACGACGCCUUCCAGCCUCUUCAAGUCUUCCCUUAGACGAGUCACCUCUACUUCUUUGGCAUUUACUUGAAUUUGACGAGCGAGGUCUUGCAUUUGAUCCGACAGGGUAGCAGAAGACGCUUGUCCAGCAUUCUUCAUGACUUGAAAUUCACAUUCCAAAGCAUAUAUUUGACCCUGCAUUUCCAGAAGAAGAUCAAGGAUACGACGAAAAUCUAUGGUAUUGUCCAUCUGUGUGCUGGCAUUUGCUCUAUCAGAUGGAGUAAAGGAAGACGAUGGAACUUCGGUGUAAUUGCGCAAAUUUGGCGUUGAGGUGUCAUGUCCUUCCUCAGGCAUUUGAGAAGUCUGAAUAUCUUCUGAAUUUGCUUGCGAGCGACUCACACCUUCACUGUGAUCAGGAAAUGGUGUAGUCCUUCUUUGCUCGUCAUCUCCCCCUGUUUCUAAGGCCUCCAUUAGGGAAGAGUGAUGGUCAUGCUCAGUAGAAUCUUGAUUGUCUUUUUCUCCAGCUUCAUCUACAGACUUUUCUUUGACUGCUUCUUCUUCUUCUUCUUCAACUUCUUUCUCCUCUUCUUCUUUUUCUUUCUCUUCUUUCUCCUCUGCUUCUCUCUGUUCUUGCUCCUCUUCUUCUUUUCUUUUCUCCUGUCGUUCCAUUGAUUCGAAUACAGAAUGACUGAGUCUUUUCAAUGCCAAGGCAGAGAUAGUGAGUUCAUCCUCUUCAUCUUCAUCCUCUAAGAUUAGAGCUCUUUUCUUUUUGGAUGGAGCACCCAUGGGCUCCUUCCCUUUCCUUUUAGACGCAGAAGAGAUUGGAUGAGAUUUAACUGGAGUUUUCACUUUAAACUUCUCCAUUGCCUUAUCAAGCUCUUUCAAACGCAUUUUUUUCAGCAUUUUCAAACCCACCACCAUUUUGUCACAUGGUCGAACACAAAGAGUCUGUGGAGGUUCAAUGUUCAAGUGUCUGAAGAUUUUAGUCACAAGACAUGAGUAAGGCAACUAGCCCUUAUCCUUCACCAUUGCUCUGUAAUUGUGGAAGAGAAUGGUGUGAGGAAGAGAGAACUUCUUCCCUGAAUUGAUCGCGUACAUCAAUUUCGCCUCAGAAUUAGACACGUCUGUCUUGGAUGUUGAUUUUGGCCUGAGACAGUUGAUCACAAUUUUGUGCAGUAAGAUGUUGAUGGCAUGCAUUCUUGCGUAGGUAACUCUUCCUUCUGUACUCUUGUCUUUGACAAGUUCCAGUGUGGUACGAGCGAUUGAAACCUUGAUCGGUUGAUAUCGUCCUCUUUCAACUCCAAUUAUGUUUGCCAACAUGUCCACAUCUACCUCAUAGUCUUGGUCUCGAACACUGAAGGAUAUUCUAUUCGCAUCUAAAAAGCUAAAUUCGAAUAGAAAUAUGCUGUCAAUUGUGCAUAGCCGUCUGUGGUGUCAGAGCAAAAUUGCUCUAGUUGAAACAGAUUGAACUUCUCCUUUAAGUUCACAUUGAUGGCAUCCAGAAAAUCAAAAUCAACGCUCCUGGGGUUUAUUACCCCCCGUUUCAACAAUUUGAAGAACAGAUCCUCCUGUUCCUUUGAUUUGAACAACUCCGUUCUUUUUCCCAUUACUUUCGCAGCAACACCCAUCCUGGGUUGGAAUUCUCUAAACAGUUUAUCAUCGUCAUUCCCGUCAGUCGGAUUAAAUCCUUCUACACGAGGGUCACUUGGAAUGUUCGCAAGUGCUUCCUCAGCCUUUCCUUUAGAAGCAAUUCCCAAAUCCUCCAUCCGUCGCAAAAAGAUAUACUCAUUUUUAUACCCUUUGUCUUUAAGGAAGGCAUCCACAUAGUUCAGUGGUGUACCUAUGCUUUUCAAGGCACGAUAGAGCUUGUAAAUAAAAGAGGGUUUUUGAACUCUUACAGGGUCUGCUUCCUUGAUUAUUUCUUCCUGUGAUAGUUGAUCCACACUUUGUGGGGUAGAUAAUGGAGAUUGACGUGGCUGAGAGUGAAUCGGGCUCUGUUGCUGUCUCGGUAACUAUUCUUCCUCGGUGAGAUCGAAAUGGGUAGGACCCUCCCUCAUUCUCUGUGGUCCCCUGCUUGUGAUUCUUGAAGACCUUCUAGAAGAAGACAUCGUUUCUUGUCGUUGAAAGAUUCCUUGACUCGCUUUCCCAAGAAAAGAUGACAACUUUCUCGAAGAUGAACACGAAAUCGAGACAGGAUUGGGAGCCUUUUUAGGGUUUUGGAGUUAAGCGAAGAAGACAACUUACUGUAUAUAACCCAGUUAAAAAAGGGAAAACCAAUCGACACAAAGGAAAGUGAACAGUCGUCCUCUUUUUAAAAUCGAUAACUGCCUUUUUAAAUAGAGGUUAUCUUUUUGAAAUGACGAGAAUCCGUUUUUCUCGGAAAUGAAACAUAAAUCAAAUAUAACUGAACAAAUGAUCGUACCUUUUCGAGAUUGAAUAUUAAAACAACUUACAGUCUAUGGCCGUGAAUGAUUGAGUCUGAGAGUCUGAGAGUCUCUAGACUUUGAUUUCCUCAAGCUUCAAAAUGUUGAGUCUAGAACGAAUGAUAUCGAAUUGAUUCUUCUCCAAGGGCUUUGUGAAUAUAUCCGCUAGUUGGCUCUUUGACUUAACAAAUUGAAUCGAGAUUUCUCCAUUUUGAACAUGAUCUCUAAUGAAGUGAUGGCGAAUCUCUAUAUGCUUUGCCCUUGAGUGAAGGAUUGGAUUUUUAGUAAGAUUGAUUGCGCUGGUGCUGUCACAUCUAAUCUCAGUGCAUGAGUCUUCAAUUCCAAAGUCUUGUAGCUGUUGUUUUAUCCACAGAAUUUGCGAACAACAACUUCCAAGAGCUACAUACUCUGCUUCUGUUGUAGAGAGAGCCACAGUGUUUUGUUUCCUUGAAAACCAAGACACUGUCCUGUUCCCAAGCAAUUGGCAAGUUCCCAAGGUGCUCUUUCUAUCAACUCUGCAACCGGCUAGAUCUGCGUCUGAAUAUCCAAGAAGAUUAAAGUCUCCUUUCUUAGGAUACCAAAGACCGAUGCUUGAAGAUGAAGCAACGUAUUUAAUAAUCCGUUUCGCAGCACUGAGAUGAGAUUCUCUAGGGUCUGAUUGAAACCUAGCACAGAUGCACACACUCAACAAAAUGUCAGGUCUAAAGGCAGUAAGAUAAAGAAGUGAACCGAUGAUACUCCUGUAUAGCUUUUGAUCAACUUUCUUCCCUUCUUCAUCUUUGUCUAUCUUCAAGGAACUUGACAUUAGUAUGUCGAUCUUUUUGCACCUUUCCAGUCUAAACCUUUUGAUAAGAUCAUUAGCAUACUUUUCUUGAUGAAUGAAAGUUCCUUCCUUCAAUUGUUUUACUUGAAGUCCAAGAAAGAAGGUUAACUCUCCCAUCAUACUCAUUUCAAACUCAUCCUGCAUAGACUUAGAGAAUUUCUUGCACAGACUUUCAUUAGAGGAUCCAAAAAUAAUAUCAUCCACAUAUAUUUGAACAAGUAAAAAGCUUUUGUUUUCCUUUUUGAUAAAUAGAGUAGUAUCUACUUUACCUUUGACAAAACCAUUCUGUAUUAAAAACUUACUUAGUCUGUCGUACCAUGCUCGAGGUGCUUGCUUUAAACCAUACAAUGCCUUUUUCAGUCUGAAGACUGAGUCUGGUUUCUUUGGGUCUUCAAACCCUGGUGGUUGUUCCACAUAAACUUCCUCAUGGAUAAAUCCAUUUAGGAAUGCACUUUUGACAUCCAUUUGGAAUAACUUGAAAUUUUUAUAAUAAGCAAAAGCAAGCAAUAAUCGAAUAGCUUCUAACCUUGCUACUAGUGCAUAGGUCUCAUCAUAGUCUAUCCCCUCUUCUUGCGAAUAUCCCUUGGCCACGAGUCUUGCUUUAUUUCUUACGACUUUUCCUUUCUCGUUCAUCUUGUUCCUGAAAACCCAUUUAGCUCCAAUAACAGAUUUACCUUUCGGUUUAGGAGUCAAUUCCCAGACAUCAUUGAUAUUGAAUUGCCUGAGCUCUUCUUGCAUAGCUUCAAUCCAGCUUUCAUCUGAUAAAGCUUCUUAUAUGCUUUUGGGUUCUAUUUCGAAAACAAGUGCCACAGCACUAGACUCUUCACGCCUUUUGGAUUUGGUGCAAAUUCCUUCAUUAAUUUCGCCAAUAAUGAGAUCUUUGGGGUGACUGGACUUAUGCUUCCAGUUACUGGUUGAUUUGUCUGAUUGAUGAUCUCUUUCUUUACUUGAAUCUUCACGAACAAUUUGAUGCUGGUCUUCCAGAGUCUGAGAUGCUUCUUGAGUUGUAAGCUUUGGAAAGUCUGGAGCAGGUUCAGACUCUUCAUGUUGAGUCUGACUGGAUUCAUUUUGCAUUGAAUCUUGAAAUUUGACAUUCAUUGAUUCCUCCACUGAUUGACUCUUCUUGUUAUAGACUCUGUAGGCUUUGCUUGAUGUAAAAUAUCCAAGGAAGAUGCCUUCAUCCGAUCUUUCUUCAAACUUACCAACUCGAUCUUUUGCAUUUUUCAAUAUAAAGCAUUUGCAACUGAACACAUGAAAGUACGAAACAAUAGGCUUCUUACCUUUGAAUAACUCAUAAGGGGUUUUCUCUAAAAUAGGUCUUAAAAAGACUCUAUUUAUGAUAUAGCACGCUGUUGAAACAGCUUCAACCCAAAAUUGUGAAGAAAUCUUACUUUCAAUUAAAAGAGUUCUAGCCAUUUCUUGAAGAGAUCUAUUCUUUCUUUCCACAACUCCAUUUUGCUGAGGAGUGUAUGGAGAGGAGAACACAUGCUUGAAGCCAGAUUCAUCACAAAAUUUUGUAAAAUCUUGAUUUUCAAAUUCACCUCCAUGGUCUGUUCUUAUACUUGAAAUAACAUAUCAUUUUUCAUUUUGAACCUUUUUAGCAAAUUUUUCAAAAUACGAGAAGGUUUCAGACUUACUCGCAAGGAAAUAUACCCAAGUAAAUCGGGAGUAAUCGUCCACGAUUACUAGGCAAUAUUUCUUACCUCCAAUGCUCUGGGUUCUGGUUGGUCCGAAGAGAUCCAUAUGCAGCAGCUACAGUACAUGAUUAGUAGAGACAUGAUUUAUUGGCUUAAAUGAAUUUUUUACCUGCUUUCCCAAUAUACAUGGGGUGCAUAGAUCAGACUUUUGGUAUGAUAAAUUGGGUAGACCACGAACAAGCUGCUUUGAUGAGAUUUUGGCUAACUGCUUCAUAUUAAUGUGACCAAGCUUUCUGUGCCACAAGCUUGCUUCGUCUUGAAUUGAAAUUAAGCAUUGCGAUUCAUCCGAUUUCACAUCCAGAAGAUAGAUAUUUCCAUGCCUUCGACCCAUGAAAGACUGAGUAGAGUCUUUACUGGUUCCAGAACAUAUUCCUUCUUGAAAGAAGAUCUUAAAACCAGUAUCACAUAGUUGGCUGAUGCUAAGAAGAUUGUAAUUGAGUCCUUCUACUAGGGAAACAUUACUUAUUGUGAGAUUUCCAAUUUUCACAGUUCCAAAUCCCACAAUCCUUCCUUUGUUGUUUCCUCCGAAUGAGACUUUUCCACCAUUUACUUAAACGAGCUUUAUAAAGCAAUUUGAGUCUCCUGUCAUAUGUCUUGAGCAUCCACUGUCCAGUUACCACUUUACCUUUUCUUUUACGGAGACCUGCAUUUAAAAGAGAGUCUCAAGCUUUCUUUGGUACCCAUAUUUUCUUGGGUCCAUUGGUGUUAGUAAGAUAAACAGUAUUAGCCCAUGUUUUCUUAACAGGUUUCCAAACCAUAGGACACUCUUUUUCAAAGUGAUCUGGGCUAUUGCAUUUUGAACACGUGAGAGCAUUUCGACCUACAGACUUUACGAAAACCUUCUUGAAAUGAUUUUUGUAGGCCAAUCUUGAGGGUCUUUGCUUGAUUCUUUCUUUUACUUUAGAAAAAUCAAUCAAGGGAAUAGUUUCCGCAGUCAUACCUAAGCCAGACUUAUUGAAAUAAGGUCUUUGAGCUGAAAGAAUUUUUUCAAGUUUCUCGGACCCUAUUGAAAAUUUCUUUGAAAUAUUUGAUGAGUCAAUUUUUAAAAGAGCAUUUUCUUUCAAAAGAUUUUCCUCACUUUCUUUAAGAGUAGAAACAUUCAUGUCUAAACAUUUAACUUUUUCCUUCAACACAUUUUCUUGUUGUUUUAGAACAAUAUUUUCCUUUUUAAGUUCGGAAAUCCUUUUAAGAGAAGUCUUAAGGCUAAAACACAGCUCAUCAAUAUACUUAGAAAUCUUGACAGGAAUUUUAAAAUUACUUACCUCAAAUUCACUAUCUGAGUUUGAUUCAGAGUUUGAGUCUAAGUCUGAUUGCGCCAUUAGACACAAAUUGGCAUAUUCAUCAUCACUUUCUUCGCACUCUGUAUCACUCCAGAUUUUGGCUUUGAGAGCCUUUCGAGACUUUUCAGCUUUUCCUUUCUUCUUCUUUAGAAGAGGACAGUUGGGUCUGAUGUGUCCCUUUUUCUUACAUUCAAAGCAAACUAUAUCUUUCUUUGAUUCAUCAUCAUCAACAGACUUGGUCUGUUGUCUUUGAAAACUUUGUUUCUUUGAGUUGAAUCUUCUUCCUUUUCUAUUUAGCUUUCUGAAUCUUCUUAUCAUGAGAGCAAGCUCCUCAUCAUCCAUAUCAUCUUCAGAAUCUGUAACAUUAGAAUCAUCAUUUGAUUUUAAUGCAAUGGAUUUCUUACCUUUUGGAUCUUCGUCUUCGUUAAUUUGUUCCACUUCAUAAGACUGAAGAGUUCCAACCAGCUCAUCGACAGAUAGUGGCAUGAUUCUUUGCGUCUCUCUUAUUGAAGUCUUUAUGUGAUUCCAAUCCUUGGAGAGUCCACACAGUAGCUUGUUUACCUUCAUGGGAUCAGAAAUUGGUUGUCCUUGAUUUUCAAGACCAUUUACAAUUUCUGUAAAACGGCUAAACAUAUCAGUUAUAGAUUCUCUAGGUCUCAUUUUGAAAGCUUCAUAUUGUCCGAGAAGGAUGUUGAUUCUGGUCUCUUUUACUCGAUCAGUUCCUUCAUAGGUAAUAUGUAACCUAUCCCAGACUUCUUUUGCUGUAACACAAGAAGAUAUUCUGUUAUAUUGAGUAGGUAACAAGGCACAAUAUAAAGAAUAUAUAGCUUUUGCAUCAAGAGUUUGUCUCUUGAUUAUCUCUUCCUGAGACAUUCCGCUGGUCUCAACAGAUUCUUUCCCUCUUUCUGAGACGGAUGCAACUUUAGGAGUGAUUCCUUUUUUUCUACAACGUCCCAUUCCAGAGGAUCCUUUGAUCGAAGAAAUGCUUUCAUUUUGUUUUUCCAGAUGUUGUAGUCCUUUCCAUCAAAGUAAGGAGGUCUGGUAUUGCUUUGACCUUCCACCAGCCCUGGAGCUAGCAUACUAGCCAUGGAUCUUUUACUCUGAAGUAAAACACUUCAAAUAAAGUGAGUACACGAGCUCUGAUACCAAUUGAUAUAGCUAGUAUAAGUACCUAGAGGGGGGUGAAUAGGUAUAACGAGUAAUUUCUAAUGAUUAUCGCACAAUACUAGACAGUUGAUAGAAAUGAGACAACUUUUCCCCAUCAACAAACAAACAACGAUCAAAGUAAGAUUGAGAGUAGGGAAGAGAAAAUUGAACACGCGGUUUAUAGUGGUUCGGCUUAUUUCAAGCCUACGUCCACUCUUCUGCACUGACAGCCCACUGGCUGGAUUCCACUAUGAACAAAGAGAUAUUACAGCACUGUUCUUCCUUGAUUUCUUGGUGUAGAAGAUCUACCACACUCUCUCAAGGUAUCACAAAGUAUAAACUCUCUUUGUGUGUACAGUUUUGCUCAAUAUGAAUCGACUAAUAAUCAAGGAGCUUCAGACUCUGGAAUUUCUCUAUCGAGCACACACUAGAAUAACUGGAAUGUCUUCUUUUUAUACUCCUUUAUGCCAUCAUACCCGUUGGCACUUACCAAAGGAAUUCUUCUAAUCUUCCCGUUGGACAAAAUCAAUUAAGAAGGUCAUUUGAGCUAUUUAAGGAACAUGUCGAUAGCCCAUCAAUCCUGUUCGCCCAUACAAUCAGGAUCUUGGUUUCCAAGAAUAGAACCUUCCAAGAAUAUUUCGUCAAUCAUCGGAUCUUCAAACGAUCUUGAUUUCGAAUAAAUAAUCCGAUGUAUCAAAUCCAACCAAGAGAUCUUCUCCAGACGAUAAGCCAAAUCCUUAACCAAACACUUUAGCUCUGGAUCAUCUUCGUCACUGGAUUAGAAACUAUCAAUGAGAAUAGUCUUGAGUCUUGAGUCUUAUGUGCUGAGUCUGGUGAUCUGAAAGUCUUCAGACUCAAAGUACAAGGGUCUGCACAGCUUCCAGACUGGACUGAUAGAAACGUUUUGUCAGCUUCAAAACACUGUAGAGAGAUUUCUCCAACACUCUUAACUUUAUUGAUAUGGAUUCAAUAUGGUAGUGUGUCAAAUGAAUAACAUCUCUCAUAGAGAGAUCCCAUUUGUCAGUCACCAUUCUCUUACCUUAGGCGUCACAAAAAAACUUGUGGCACUAGAGAAUGUUUUUAUAGUUACAAUGAACUCACAUAUGUCUUGUCCUUACGGUUAAUCUUUCUUUAUCUAUCACAAGACAUAUGCACAAGACUAAUAACCGGAUGCCCCUAGUCUUCACUCAAGAUUUAUAUAGUACCUUGAAACUUUAUAAAUACGUAUUCAAUAUAAUAACAACACAUUCAAAAAUAUUUUAUUGAAUGCAAAAGUUGAUACAUAUCAAACCGUUACAAAGUGUAACGAACAUAGAUGAAACAUUUAUCUGAGUAAAGUCAAAAUAACUCCCACUAAACAACAGCAUCUCACGAUGCUCCUAGGCCCAUGCUAAUGACAUGUCGCUCAAAUACACAUGAACGUAGGCCUUUAGUUAGUGGAUCUAUAAUCACAUCAUCUAUAGAAAUAUGUUAUAUUAUAACGUCACAUUUUUGUACCGUUUCUUUAUGAUAAAAAAUUUUGACCGCCAUAUAUUUAGGCCCAUUGAGACCUCUAUAGUAAAUAAAUACUACUGCAAAUUUAUUGUCUCAAUACAACCAUAUGGGUCUAUCCAUAAAGUUAAAAACAGUCAACUCCUUCGUGAGCUUCCGGAGCCUAAUGGCUCAAGUAACAACCUAAAAGAAUGUUACAAACUCUGUUUACAUAGUAGAAGAUGCCAUAGAACUUUAUUUACUGCACUUAUUGUUAACAUAAAUAUGUAUUAUGUUAUUGAUCACAUAUCAUCUUAACAAACGACAAAAUUUACAUAUGAAUACCCUACUAGUUGUAAAAAUUGAACAUGUUUGUAAAUCAGCAUAUAAUCUCUUGUCUUAUUUAAGUACCUUAAAAUCUUCUUGGCAAUCCUGAAUUUAACUUAUACCUACCUAGAAGUCCCAUCGCAAAGACAAUAUUUAGUCUAGUGCAAAUUUGAGCAUACAUUAUACUUUCAAGUGCGUUGACACAAGGUACACCAUUUAACUAGAUUUUCUCAAUAUCUAAAUAAGGAUAAUGUAAUGGAUUCAGUCCACACCCUUAACGAAGGAACAAUUUCUGGCUUGCAAUGAUGUAUAUUAAAUAUUUCCAAAAUACAAUCAACAAAUGUCAUCUGAGAUAAAUAUAAUAAAAUCCAAUAUUUAUAUGGCGAAAACAAUGCUUACGGACCUCAGUAUAAAAGACAAAAGAUGCCUCAAGGUCACUACUUGUAAACAAAAUAUCAUGUAUAUAGAGUAUGAGAAAAAUAAAUUUCAUCCCACUGAUCUUGCAUUAUAUUGAAUUACUUUAUUCCCAAUUAAACAAAAUAACAACAUUAUGAAACUUUUAAUAAUAUUGUCUGGAAACUUUCUUAAGACUAUGAAUAAGACUUUUCAGUCUACACACAAGUUUACUUGAAUCUACUGCAAAAUCUUCCAGUUGCACUAUAUAGAUUUUGCAUCUAUUUGACGUAACUCCAUAUCAAAAAGAGCUAUUAAUGUCACGUUCACUCUGAAAGAAUCUUUAAAAAAUAUUAGAAAAGAAUAAUUAUUUCUUCACUAUUAAUUAUCCAGCCCUCUUUCAGAGUGAAAACAUUAGUUACCAUUUUGGCUUUAAAUUUCAUAAUCUUUCUUUGAAAUCCUUUUAGUUUUGUACGCCAAUUUGCAACUAAUUAACUUGUGAUCUUUAAACAAGUUAGUAAGUUUCCAAACAUUAUGAUGUUCAUAGAUUGUAUAUCAUCUUUUAUGGCAUCUAAUCACAUACUUGAUUGAGGAUAAAAAACAACAUUUAUUUAUGUUGCUAAAUUAACCAUGUAGUGGAUAUUGUAGUCAUGCUCUCACAAAUAGACUAUAUAAUCUAUCGAAAUAACUGAUCAUCUUUUCCUAACAAAUCUCCUGAAUAAAACUACAACCACUUCAUUCUAUACUUGAGAGGUUUAAAAAAAAAUUCAUUAUAAAUUAUAUCAAGAAUAGUACCUUAAACUUCAACAAGUUUAGUCUAUGGUACAUGAGAUUCCAUAAUUGUCUGUACCACAUUAUCUGUAUAGGGUAAAGACAAAGACAUAGUGAUUUUUCNNNNNNNNNNNNNNNNNNNNNNNNNNNNNNNNNNNNNNNNNNNNNNNNNNNNNNNNNNNNNNNNNNNNNNNNNNNNNNNNNNNNNNNNNNNNNNNNNNNNCCUUCUUUAGGGUCAUAAAAUUGAUAUCUAUUUUAACAAUCUGGGUAAGAUACAAAAUAAUUCUGAGUGGAUCUAAAUUCCAAUGCCACGACACCUCUAAAUUUCAUAUGAUUCAAGUAAUUUAUGUUUAGUCUAUAACUCAAAAGAAGUUUAUGAAACAACUUUUGUAUGUGAAAAUGUUGCUUUCAAAAUAUCAACCCAUAGAAGACCGAAGAAAUUAGUCUUACUAAUCAUACUCAUCACCAUGUUCAAUAUGGUGCAUUUAUGCCUUUCGGCCAAAUCUUUUUGUUAGAAUUUUCAAGCAUAGUAAUUAAGUUACCACCCUAGAAUUUACCAAAUAUUUGACAAAUGACCCUUUAAGUUAUUUCGCAUUGUUAUACUUGCCAAAAUACUUACGGCCACUAUUAAGCCUGACAACCUUUUAAGACUAAUUGUAAUUAUUUUAUUCUUUAUCUUGAUAAUUUUACUUCCACAGUAAUCUAUAGAAGUCUAUAGAUAACUGUUAAAAGUAGACAAACUAUCAACAUUGUCAACUUUUCUACUCUUUCUUUAGACAUGUGUGAAAUUAUUCCUUAAAUAGAAAAUUUUCAGAAACAACCUCUUUAACCAUAUACGAGAUGUAUAUGUCAUUAGGACUUAAACAUAAUCUUUGCAAAUGUGUCCUAAAUUCGAUAUUAGACAAGACAUAAUUACAAACCACUAAGGCUUCCAUCAUCUUAUAGCAGUGCAAUUCACAGGCAAACCACAUUUCAAGUUUCCUGAUUGGAACACUUCAUGGACAGUAAGCAAAUUUUAUUACUCUUUUCCCAAGCAGCAAAUCAUAUGUCUACUACUUAAAAUUUGAAGCAAUAAAAAUCUAAAUAAUAACGGAGUUAUUAAUUACAUAAAAUGUGAUUGAAAAAACAAGUAAUGUAUAUAAUUAGCAUCAUGUGAGUACCGUGUAACUUGAUGUACAAAUACACAUCUAGAGAGUUACACGCAUAAUCAUAUAAUCACAUUUGUGCAGAAUACAUGGCAUACAGUUGUACACUCCCCAUAUGAUAGCGAUUAUGAAAAUAUAUUCUAAUCUUUGUGAAUUUAUCACCUUUGGGAGUAUGAACCACAAGUAUGACCAUGCAUUAAAUCAGGAGACAUCUCAAUUAUUAUACGAGACCGAUAUUUCUCAAACCCAAUCAAGCGUGCCACUUUGGCGGUCACUACUCAAUUGAAUCCUUGAAACUCUCUCAUAUCAGGAAUAUAAACUUUACUUCUCAUAUACACCAUAUACAUGUGAUUUUAACUUUAAUGAUACGUGCAGCAUAUCACUGAAAUCCCAUAUGAUGCUAAUUACACUGCCUUAUUCAUUAAUAAAAAUUAAUCAUAUAUAUAUAACCUGAAAGACAGACUCCAAUGAGAUCACCAAUUACAGCAACACAAGAAACUUCUCAUAACAUAGAAGCAAUCAUCUCUUGUGCACCUCGAUUAUAGAUUACCAGAACAAUAUAAAAAGAAUGAUGAUCCAGAGAAUCUAUCAAAAGUUAACAUCAAUAGCAAUAUAGGGUACCACAGAUCGACAAGCCUAACAACUGNNNNNNNNNNNNNNNNNNNNNNNNNNNNNNNNNNNNNNNNNNNNNNNNNNNNNNNNNNNNNNNNNNNNNNNNNNNNNNNNNNNNNNNNNNNNNNNNNNNNAUAAGGCAAAAAAUGAAUCCAAGGCCAACAACUGAUUUAUUAACAAUUUUUUUUAAGUACCAAAUUAUCCAUGUAAUCAACUAGUGUCUAUUAAUUAAGUCAAACCAGAUAACCAAAUAUCUAAACCUUUAACAGUAAAUACUAUUGCUCCGCGUAAAUGUUAUCAUACUCCUAAUCAAUUAAAAUAGUCAAUUUAAUGGACAUUAACAAAUGACCAGAUGAGUUUAGAUACAAUAUGUAAUGACUUAAUUGAUAUACAAUACCCACAUUCAGCAGAUCUGUUAAUUAGUACAAUCAGUUUGGUCACAGGUUCUUAAGACGUCCAUCAUUCAAAGGUUACCAGCAUGUAAAGGAGUAUGCAUGAGUAACCAAAAGUUUCAUAACCUUUUGCCGUUUCUCAUCACUUCAAUACAUAAUUCAAUUACUAUCCCAUAAUGGUUGUAUCUCAUUAAGCCAGCUUCAAUUCACAAUAAAGUUUAAUUUUUAUUAAUGAAUCACACCAUUAUAAUGUUUAUGUGAUAACAUACCUGUAAUCCAACACUUAUAUUUCCAAAAUCACAGAAAAUACAAGAAAAAUACGCAAAAAUACACUAAAAAUACAUAAAAUCAUCAAACAUAUAAAAUAAAUACACCACAAGAUAGAGAAUGAACAUGCGAAUCCAACGCCGCCAGCCAUGCGCUAAUCCGAUGCACCACGGGCCUGCACGCACCACCUAAGUGCAUGGCGCGUGGAGCCCACGAGCGGGCGUAUCUUAACCGGUCAAAACUAGUCCAACCGGUAGCGGUCUGACCGGUUCCCGAUUCGACUGGUUGACCGGGUCGGGUCGGGUCAGGUCAACAAGUUGGGUCGGGUCGGGUUGGCCGCCAAUUGGGUCCGGUCGCUAAUGUCACUAUGGCGUCAGCAUACGUGUGUGUGUCACACGUGCAAGCCGCGCCCCGCACGUGAGGGCGUGUGACCUCGCAUGACCACGCGUGGGGCGCGUCUCCUACACCCUGACGGCGCGUGGCCGCACGUGAGGGCGCGUGCGGAGUCCUCCGGCGAUGCGCCGCCCACGGAUCUGCUCGUCUUGUCGAGCCCAGUCCGAAUUUGUGAUUUAAUUUUAUUUUUAUUGAACAAAAAAUCACGAAAAUCACAAAUUAUGGCAAAAAUUUUAUGCGUUCGAGUUCUAGGAUUAUGGUUGCUCUAAUACCACAUGUUGGAUGCAAAUCACACAAUCCCAAGAUCUCCAUAACCAUAACAAGAACAUGCAUAAUUGAGUAGAAAAGAUUAACGUACCUGUUUUGGGAUUCAUCAUUCUUGAAGUGGAAGCAGAAACACAAUAUUCCAUGCACAAAUCAUUCUCCUCUAUUGCCCUCCGUAUCAUUGGCUCAAUGAGGCGGUCCCCUCACGUUUAGCGUUAGGUAAAUGCUCAUUAGGUCAUGAUACAUGUGAGAAUUAUGGUUAGAAGAAAGACUUGAGCACUAUUUAUAGAAUUUCCAGCCAAGCCCCCUCAUUACGGGCCAGGCUCAACUCGGCCCACACUAGACAGCCUCAUAUUAGACUAAUUAAGAAAUUUUCUAUCUGACCUUAGAUCAACCCUGUGUUUACGGUAACUGUAAAAAAAGUAAAUUAUAAUAUCAAUUAAUGUAGUCCAUAUUAGGAAAUUUUUUACGUAUCCAUCUCUCCAAACCCCCAAAUUGCCCCUCAAUUUGCCCUCAAAACUGCUCCUUUGCAGGAUCUCAAUCCUUGUGUACGAUCACCAGGACAAGCUGCUAUUGCAGGUUGGGCAUGUUUAUUCGGUUUCCUGUGUCGAAUUUGAAUAAGAAUUGAGGUCGAUGUUGAUGUCUAUUCAUGUUACUGCGAGAGUUUGUUUAUUUUCACGGGUUCCUGUUAUUUUCGAAUUAGUUGCAAUUGAUUUCAUUUCAUUCGUGUUGGAAUCGAGGAACUGUGCUUGUAGGGGCACCCGAAGCGGGUCCUGCUUCUCUAUCCGUGCAUGCUUUAUCUCUACGUCGACAUGAUCGUGGGGCUGAGCAACGCCGCCGCGCGCUGUCCUCGGCGUCGAGCUUCAGAUGCCCUCCGACGAGCCCUACCUUUCCAUGUCGUUCCAAGAUUUCUGGGGCCGGAGGUGGAACCUCACCGUGACCAACGCCCUGCGGCACACCGUGUACAAGCCCCUGAAGUCGUUCCUCGAACCGCACUUGUGGGCCGCAUGGGCGACGGCGGCUGCAGUCAUGGCAGCGUUCCUCGCGUCCGGGCUGAUGCACGAGCUGCUGUACUAUGACGUGACACGUGCGAGGCCUACUUGGGAGGUGACGGGGUUCUUCAUGCUGCAAGGGGCGUGCGUGGUGGUGGACGUGGCGGCGAAGGCGGCGGUGGGGGAGAGGUGGAGGCUGAGCAGGGCGGUGUUGACGCCGCUGACGGUGGGGUUCAUGGCGGCGACCGCCAUGUGGCUGUUCUUCCCGCAGCUGAUCAGGAAACGGGGCGGACGCGAGAGCCAUUAAAGAGUGCAAGGCUUUCAUGGAGGGGCUGAGGCCCAAGUUCUGACACGCGGUACAAGGCAUUUGGGGUAUAUUUAAUGUGCACAACGUUGUUCUUACGAAAUCGGUUAAUCACAUUUCAAAAAAUUUCAAAGCUAACAUUGGGUCCUCAAUUACUGGGAAAAAAAAUUGACAUUGGUCUUUAAGAAAACACAAUCUUUAGUCUAUGUAUAUGUUUUUCAUAAUGUAAUUAAUUAUGUCUGACUUUCACNNNNNNNNNNNNNNNNNNNNNNNNNNNNNNNNNNNNNNNNNNNNNNNNNNNNNNNNNNNNNNNNNNNNNNNNNNNNNNNNNNNNNNNNNNNNNNNNNNNNNNNNNNNNNNNNNNNNNNNNNNNNNNNNNNNNNNNNNNNNNNNNNNNNNNNNNNNNNNNNNNNNNNNNNNNNNNNNNNNNNNNNNNNNNNNNNNNNNNNNNNNNNNNNNNNNNNNNNNNNNNNNNNNNNNNNNNNNNNNGAAAUUCCAGCUCUCACUAACAAAAAACUUGCCCUUUGAAGCUCGAUAAAAUUACAUUCCUACUGUCAUGAGUUUUCGGACAACCAUUUUGCUCCAUUUUGUCGGAGAUUGUAUCGUUACUCUUUCAAAUAAUGUUAUACUAGGACCAGUCUACUAUAACAUGAAGACAUCAAGUUCUUAUGCUUAGAAUCGUCGGAUCAUCACAAUUAAAUUUCAGCCAUUGAUCAUUAACGGUUGAGAGUCAUUAUUGGAGAUGCCUCACAGCAUAAUAGCCUAGUUCAUAUAACUAGGUUGUCAAGAAAUUUGUUGAACUAGAAUUUAGGUUCAGAGAAUGUUUAUGCUCCAUGGUAGAUGCUCAUUCCUUUAGAGCGACGCAAAAUUGAAUAAAAAGUGAGGACGUAAUUACAAACAGCUUAAGUUAGGGGACUGCGCAAAUAAAAUCAAAUCUGAGGACUCAAUAGAAAAAAGAGUGCAAGUUGCAACGAUCCACAAGUGGUACUCUUUUGGGGAAAACUCCAUCUCAACUUUAUUCCCGUUAUCGUCCUGCAUAUGUCCCUUUAUACUUCCUCUUUUUUUGUUUUUUUUUAUCAAAUAUUUCCCUCACUUUAGAGUCCUCCAAUUUGCACUUUAAUUUUCGUUAACAGAUUUCGAUUGGGCCAGAAUGCCACUACUCUUUAAAAAGUGCCAAACGUACUUUCUAAGCCCACCUCAAUCUUCUUUUAUUGAGAGAAGGUAACAUACGGCACAGUAUUCAAUGGUUAGGCAGCAUGACAUCAUAAGCUAACUUUAGCAUUAAUUUUUUUUUUCAAAUCCAAUAAAAAUUGAUACUUGUUCUUGACGUGGCACAUAAAUGAAAAAAUCUUUCUCUGGUCGCAACAGUGGGGGAAUCUCUCUUUCUUUGCCCUGUUCUGUUGCAGCAAAUGGACGAGCCGCAACAAAGUGAGUGGCUUGGCCAUGGACGGCAACGACUGCGAGCCACCGCAAUGACGAAGGGAUGGCUCGGCCAUGGAUGUGCGGUAGUGGUCGGCUUGGAUGCAGUGCCGGCGACUCUGCUGGUGACUCUGAUGGAGGGAGUGGCCGUGGAUGGAGAAUGAAGAAGAGACCAAAAAAGAAGGGCUGGUUUUUAAUUCUUUUAUUUGUUUGCCACGUCAUAGACAUGUCAAUUAUUCAUUGGAUUUCAGUACAAAAAUGCAUGCCACAUCAGCUUAUGAUGCGAUUUUAACUAACCACCGAAUAAUUUCUAGCAAUAUAUCAAAAAUUAUAGAAAUAGCUCAGAGUGUGUUUGAUUGGAUUUCUAGGGAAAGUUUUGGGAAAAUGCAAAAGAUUUUAAGUUAAAAAAAUUUUCAAAAAUGAAAAUUAUGUUUGUUAAAUUAUAAUUUAAAAAUCCAUUGUGAAGUACUUUUGAGUAAAAUAGUACUUGGAUAAGGAUUUUAAUUAUUUAAAAAAAGAAAAAAAAAUUGGUCCUUUGCCGACUAAGGGUAGGCCAUCGCCGACUAAGGGCAGGCCAUCGCCGAUAAUCCAGAUCUAUUGUCGAUAACUGUCGUCUAAGGUCGCAAGACCUCAAACAGCCCUUGGAGACCAUUGGCGAGGGCCACUUCGGGUCGAGUGACCCUAGCGCGGGUCAUGUGCUACUAGGGGUCAUGUGACCUACGUAACCCCUUACAACUUCGAAAGUCACUCGAACCCGACGAGGGCUAGCUGGGUCAUGCGACCUUCAUAGCCGUAACAACUUGCAUAACUCGUUACAGCUCGGAAGGUCACUCGAAUCCAACAAGGGCCAGUUGGGUCUUGUGACCUACGUAACCCCUUACAGCUUCAAAGGUCACUCCAACUCGAUGAGGGCUAGCUAGUUCGCGCAACCCUCGCUAGGGGUCACUUGACCCCAACAAGGGCUAGUUGUGUUUCUUAACCCCAAGUAGCCCCUUGCCGAGGUCAUGUGACCACCGAGGGUUGUCUGCCGUCUAGAUCAGGCAACCUCGUCCAGCCUUGUGAGGGUCGUGCAACCUAGAUGAUACUCGCCUACACGGUCGCUUGGGUCGCUGCGACUAGGGGUGAGCAAUUUCAGGUUCCGAUUCGAUUCCGUCUAGAACCUGGAAUCUACCCUCGGGUACAGGUUCCUCAUUUUUUGAAACCUGAAACCUACCUUCGGGUACAAGUUCCUCAUUUUUUGGAACCUGGAAACUACAAUGUACACGCUUUACCAAAAAAAAAAAAAUAUAUAUAUAUAUAUAUAUAACGUACGCACAUACUCUACGAUAACUUCCCACAUCUUAGCAAACAUAGUAUAUACCAAUGCCAACUGCCAAGAAUUUGGACAUACAUAAUCAAAACCAAUAAAAAGUUUCCAAAGAGGAAAGGAGGGGCUUGAUUAACUAUAAUUAUUGUGCCCACGAAUGGACCUAGACUUAGAACCAGGGAAGGAGAGUAAAUUUCCUGUAGGUAUGCAUCCCACAGUGGGCGAACAACUCCCGUUCAAGCCCUUCAGGGACAGCCUUUUAGCAGAAAACCACUCAGCCCUUUAGUUCAGAGCCUAGAGACACUCAGAGAGAUGUCAGGAUGGAAACGUUUCUAACCUACCCAAGCUGCAUUUCUUGGAGGAUCCUACCAAGCUGGAGAAGAAGAGCAAUUUAGAAAGCCAUGGAGAGAUUUUCACAAAGCACACACUUUACUUCAAGGGACUCUGCCCAAAACGAUACACCCUCCUUGCCUUAUAUAGGCAAUAAGAGGUCACUAGGACACACACAGGGACCUUACUCAUGGGUCCAGAUAAAAACAGAGGCACCGGAACUUUCCGGGAGGGAAUUAUUAGCACACUAUGAACAGUAACUGUACUGUGAACAGUACUUUCCCUAGCAUAGUGCUACAGUAAAAAGUGAAUAGUGACUUUGCUACAGUGAAAUUGUACGGACUCAACGGUCUCGUCCGUCACGAGCAUUGUAGCUACAGACUGAGUCAUCUGAGCUGUCUUCUAAGAGAUGUGCCUCGUAUUUUUGUUCAAGGGCUUCAAGGUCUUCAGGUGAGAAGAUUUGAUUCAGCCUUCGUGAUGAGGAUGCUUGUUCAUGAGCCCAAUGUGAUGCUUCUUCUUCAGCCCAGUUUGUAUUUUCAUCUUCUUGAGGGUCGACAGGAAUUCUUGGCUGAGGCCAGUUGGAUGGUUGUGCAUAGAAAGAUAUGUCCAUGCUUUGGAAUUGUUCGUAGGGAUCCUGGGACAGAGGUCCUCCAAAGCGUGCAUAGAGGUCCUGGGUGGAUUGGACAAUGUCAUCUUCGGUUGUCAUUUCAGGCUCUUGGGACGAUGUGGCUUGUCUGUAUUGUUCGAGUGUUUCCUUAGCUUCUGGUGCUAAGUCAUAAUGAUCCCACGUAGUGGGUGCAUUAUUCCAAACAUCUUCGGGAAUAGUCUUGUUUUCUUGGCACAGGAUUCUCUAGAGUUCUCGGUAUUCAUGUUCACAAAGUCUAACAGAUCUUGGAUAAGAUUUGUAAAUCCGGGCUUCUCGGCUGUUCAAGUUAGGUUUAUAGGAUGUGGUUCCUAUUUCUAGUGGUGCAUCGAGAAUACUACCAUUAUUUUUGCAAAAAUUCCAUGGACGUCGAAAAAACAGGAUGAUGUGGACCUCAGGAUUCGGCGUCAUGGAUCUCAGUUCUUUUUCCAAGUCUUGUUUCCAGCAUGUAGGAUGAUAGAACCAAUUUAGAAAAUCUAAAAGAUUUCUAUCACAUUCUUUUUCGAUGUUUCUUCCGAGCAAGAAUAUCCUUGUGAGGUUGGCAAUGAAUCUUCUGGUUGGAAUUUCAAAAGCUAUUAGGUACUUAUUGGUUAAGUACCACAAUAACGUUUUGAGCUAUUCAGGGAAAUCAUCUUCCUUCCAGAUAAGAGGAUGAAUGAAUGGAUAAUCCAUAUUUAACCCAAAAGGAUAAAGAAUCGAACCUCCAUUGAAUCCGAAUAGGUCUGUGUGGCUUUGCCACAUGAGGUUCUCCAGGUUCUCAGCAAGACUGUCGUUCUGGAUUUGCUGAAUAAUCUCCUGGGGGUAUUUCCAGCUUUGCGUAUCUUUGAUCUUCUCAAUUUUGUAUUUCACUCCAUGAUUAAGCAUAUGGAAAGCAGGCCUCUUGAUGUACAUGUUGAUCUCGGCUGGUGCUUUUGGCCUUGAUAAGAAGUCAGCAAGUAUAUUCUUCUUUCCCAGAAUAUGCUUAGUUUCAAGAAGUAUUUUGAUAACCAUUCAGCCCAUCGAAGCAGUUGGGAAUUUGGAAUCUGUUUUUGUUUAACUUGGUCAUCUGAGGGAAANNNNNNNNNNNNNNNNNNNNNNNNNNNNNNNNNNNNNNNNNNNNNNNNNNNNNNNNNNNNNNNNNNNNNNNNNNNNNNNNNNNNNNNNNNNNNNNNNNNNNNNNNNNNNNNNNNNNNNNNNNNNNNNNNNNNNNNNNNNNNNNNNNNNNNNNNNNNNNNNNNNNNNNNNNNNNNNNNNNNNNNNNNNNNNNNNNNNNNNNNNNNNNNNNNNNNNNNNNNNNNNNNNNNNNNNNNNNNNNNNNNNNNNNNNNNNNNNNNNNNNNNNNNNNNNNNNNNNNNNNNNNNNNNNNNNNNNNNNNNNNNNNNNNNNNNNNNNNNNNNNNNNNNNNNNGCAUGGAUUGCAAAGGAAUGAGAAGCUUUGCAAUGUUUGGGACAAAAACCCUGAGAUAAUUAAUUAUCCCAAGAAAUUGCUGAACUUGCUUUGUUGUGAAGUUAUCUUGGGGAAACUUCAAUAAUUCUUAAGCAAUAUGUGGCCCUGGAUAGUAUGUACCUUUGUUAAGGUGCAUACCAAGAAAUUCGAUUUCUGUCUGGGCAAUAUUCAUCUUUCUUUGAGAAAGCAUGAUACCAUGUUUCUUCACGAUUUCUGCAAAUUGCUCAAGGAGUUGACAAUGUGACUGCUCAUCAGGACUGUAGAGCAGAAUGUCGUCAAUGUACACUACUGCACUUGAUAGGAUUGGUUGAAAAAUGCGACACAUGGCCUUUUGGAAAAGAGAUGGUGCUACCUUUAAGCCAAAAGGAAGAACUUUCCACUGGAAGUGCUGGUUCGGGAUACAGAAUCCUGUUUUGGAUCUGUCUUCAGGAUGGAUGCCCAAUUGCCAAAAUCCGGUUUUGAGGUCGAAUUUGGAAUAGAUGUGGGCCUUGGUUAGACCACUAAAGAGAGAAUCUCUCAAUGGUAGAGGGAACUUAUCAUCUUGGAGAAAAAGAUUGAGAGGUUGAUAGUUGAUCACCAAUCUCAUUUUUCCUCUAUUUUGCUCAACGCGCUUAUUGAUAUAAAAGGCUUCACAAGCCCAUUGUGAAUCGGAGAUUUCAAUAAGGCCUUGUUGCAAUAGUUCUGAGCAUUCCCUUUGAGCUAAAACCAAAUGUUCUAGCUUCAUUCCCAUGUGGCUUGCCCUGGUUGGGUUUAUGUCUUCAUUCUUCUUGAAAGGAAGGCGAACAAAGAACUCUAGAUUUUCCCAUAAAGGAUGGGAACACUUUUGAGCGAAUUCUGAAUGGGAUUCUGAACAAGAUUCUAGCAACUUUUGCAUAAUUGGAUCUAGUAAACUCAUCUGGAUGGAAAAGAGUCUCUGAAUAUUAACGAACUCAGAGAAUUGAUCUUUAUAUCUAAGACCUUUUCCAAGAAUGAUGCGAAGCUGAGAGAUUUGAGUCAUAAUGUCCCACCCAAUUAUCAGGUCUUUAUUGGGAAGGUUUGAUCCAAAGAUUUUUGCAGUUAUGGAGCACUACGAGAAGAACUGGAUAGUUACAGGAGUGGUUCUGACAUUUGUGGAGGAAGUAUCUGCUGAAGCAUAAUUGAAAUAUCGGAUAUAAGGAGUCCAGAAUUCUUCAGGAAGAACCUUGGUGUCUAAUAUUGAACAACUUGCUCCUGUCUCAAUGAGAGCAAUAACAGUGAUAGGUUUGGCAAACUUUGAAGUGAGGAUUUUUACAGGGAAAUGGGGACAGUAAGUUUGACUUGAAAAUAUGUCAAGGUUUGGUUCUGAGGAUGAUGCUGAUAUAUGGAAAAUAUCUUCAGACUCUGAGUCUGACUCAGUCUCACUGGAAGUUUGGUAAGAGGGAAUGACACAAAGAGUUUGUUCAGAUGGCUCUUCAUCAACAAAGAAUAAGGAUUCAAUAUCAUCAUUUUCAAGAGAAAUACCUGUUUCGUUCUCAAUGUGAUGAAUUAGGUGAUUCUGGCCUUUUCUCACUUGAGGACAGUUUUUGGCAAAAUGUCCUUUCUGAUUGCAAAUGUAGCAACGGUUUGAUUUUUUGUGGCUUGUGCGAUCCUUCCUUUUGCGUAGGUAUCGCCAUUUCUUCUUUUUCCGGAAAUGCUUGGAUCCAUGUUUGGAUUUCUUUAUCCAAAACUUCUUGUAGUGUUUCUUCUUCCGGGAAUACUUGCCACAAGUACCAUCACAGUCUUUCUUGGAACAUUUGAUUUUUAACUUCUGGCGAGAACAAGUUGAUUCAAGGCGCUUGUCGUCUAUGAUGUAAGUACGGACCAUCUGGCGCUUUAGGCACAAUUCUUCGAGACAUAAAUGAACUUCUUGUUGUAUUGCUCCUAAUGGAACAUCUUGUAUUCUCCUUUGUUUUCCAAAGAAAGAUCUUUCAACCAUCUGGGAUAGUUCUUUAGGGAUGGAAGUAAGGAAAACAUGCUUCAGAUUUGGAUCUGCUCCUACUUGGUAAAAAAGCUGAAGCAUUAUUCGAUAAUGCUUAUCAAGAUGUUUUUCCUGGAGGGAGCAGCAUCUUCUCUCGAAAAACUCUCUUCUUUUUAUCUCUAUGAGAUCAGUGGGUUUUCCCACAAAGACAUGAUAUAAGAGAGUAACGGCAUGGCUGAAAUUAGGUGACAUUAGAAAAUGGAUCUGGUCUUGUUCUGAAAUUGAUUGCCACCAGAGUUUGAGGCUUCCUGUGAACCUUGUAACAAAGUUGUACAGGACGUCAUUCAUAUCAUGGUUAGUGAUAGACUGGGUAUUCAACCAAGUAUGAAAUUCUUCAAGCCUUAUCAGCCAUUUGUGAUAAGGAAUAUCAUCAAUGGUGAAGAAUUGUUUUGAUGCUAUAGACACAUGCUGAGCAGAAUUGCUUGUCCGACCUAUUUCUGGGUCAGAAUAGUUUGAUUCCAUUUCAUCAUCCGGGGGGUCAGCCAUGAAUAUUGAUGAAGUUACUGGUGCAAUGGGGAGGGAAUCAACUAUAGGAAUUGAGAAGGAUGAAGAAGAGGAGAAGGAUACUGAAGAAUCUGAUUCAGUAUCACGAGAAGUUUGCUCUACUAGGAGCAGAAUCUGUUUUUCUGGAAUGACAGGAUCAGGCUGUUGGAUAACAGGGUCAGGUUCCUGAGUGCUUAAAUCUUUUAGAAAAGAUUCUAAUGGAUUUGAUAGCAUCAUCUGAUCUGGCCUUUCUCUGAUAACAAUGGAACUUGAUUCUGUAGGCGGUAUUUUUUCUUUCCCAUUUUCCUUCUGCAGGGCCUUGAGGCGAUUUCGUAUUUCUGCCAUAUCUGGUUCUCUUCUGUAAGGAUCUGCUGGAAUAGUGGCAAAGAUAGACGUUUGUGGCGGUGGGGGUAAAUACCCGAUUUUAACAGGAGGUGCCAAUGGGUCAAACGGUCUGAACCUUCCUUCUUCAAGAAGCUGGAUUUGCCUUUUGAGCUUCUCUAUUUCUGGCUUUGGACUUUCAAGAUAAUGGUACCCAAUAUGUUGUCCUGAUUCUAAGGCGUGAAGCCUUUUCUGGAAUUCAGAAAGUAUCUUUUUGGUACUUUCAUCAUACCUUCGGAGAUCUUGUUGCACAUUUCCAAUUUUGGAAUCAAUUGCCUUGAAGGCAUUAUUAUGUGCCAACAGAGUUUCUGAUUGCCAAUUUAGAACAGCUUCAGCGACAGAGGUUUUUUUCUGUCUCCCAUGUUCAUCCACAUCAGUGGGAGUAGGGAUUUUAGGAACAUGGCGGUAUCUACCAUGGGGAUCAAUAAACUCUUCUACAGCAGGGAACAAGAGUUUAGAACUUUCCUUGACAAGAGGAGGAAAGUCGGUAUCCUGGAACAUAGCGAUAGAAGAAGUGGGUGGUGCUUCUUCUGGGACUUCGAGGGGGUAAGAGUGCUUCUUAGCCCAUUUGAGUAUUGGCUUAUAAAAUGGAGAGAGGGCUUGCUUCUUCUGGGGUGGAGAUGGUGGUGGUGUUUUUGGUGGAUCUGGUAAGGCUUGGGAUGUAGUAUUCACCUCUGGCGGUGGAGGUGGUGCAUAGGAAACCAUGAACUGAUAUUUGUCACACUCGCCGAGAGUAUCAACGGAGGAGUCUCCGUCUAAGUAUCUUUGGUACAUCUUAUCCUUUGGCCUUUUCCUUCGAGGUGGAGAUCUUACGAAGGAUCUACCUCGUCAGGCGAAUUUGUACAAUAGGAACAUUGACAAAAGGGAUCCCAAAAACAAUUACCAUAGUCAUAUUUAUAGUAAUGAAUAGGAUGUCCAUCACCAUCGAAGUGUCGGACAUGCUUUUUUGGAUCUGGCUCGAAAAUAGAUUGAGGAACACAUGGUUCAAUCAUGAAGAGGGUCUGGAAGAUAGAAGGGCUUUCUUCCUUUUCCUUGCCAAAUUUGAUGGAAACAGUUCCAUCUUUCUUGUGUACGAACUCUGAGUCCGUAGACUGGAAAGGCUUGUUGUGCUGAUGUAGCUUUUCGUAGUUGGUAAUCCAAGUCUCUGGAAGGAGCUUGGCCAACGUAUCCUUUGGGAUUUGUCUGGGAACAUGGAUGCAAGACGCUUGAUCAUUCUGCAUGGAGAUAAAUAAUGCAUCUUCAUUACCAUUGUUGAAGUUGAGGUCAAGUGCAUGGUUUUGCACUCGAUAAACCAUCUGGUAAUAUAGUGUUGCAGCUACAGAAUCAGCAGUUUGAGGGGCUCCAGUAAGUUGGACUUGGACUUUCAUAAAGGAAAGUAACUAGGGGUCUGAAAGAGCGAUGUUGAAGUUUAGAUAUAGAGUGACAAAGACUGUUCCAGCAUUCAAAGUAGUUUGAACAGUUCCAAUGCAAGCAUGCUGGUAUUGUAAAAAUUUGGUAUCUAACAACUCGAUUCUUGCCACAAAGUUUAAAUCGUCAAUUUGCCAUAUGCCAUAUGCCUUAUCAGCUAAGUCAAAUGAAAAUGAUUAAGCAAAAUAUACUAAGAAUAUGAAAAACCAGAAGUGCCAACAAGAUGAUGAAGCACAUGAAAAAGAUGAAGCAAAAUAUACUAAGGAGAUGAAAAACCAGUUUUGCAACAAGAUCUCAAAUUUUCAUCUACUCCAUAGUGUGAACUCUACAACCUUUCCCUAUGAUUCCUUUGGCACAGCAAAACCCUAUAAAGACAUGGAUGAAAAUCAGUCAAAAUCCUAAGUAAAGACACAUCCAAAAAUCAAUAUCGAUAAUACUCCAUGAAGCAUGUCAUUUUGCCCAUCUAAAGUCUCCUAAAUUCUUUGACAACAUAGUUCAAAAAUUCAAUAUACAUAAGAAUAGCCUGCAUUAAGAUUACGAUAAACAAAGUUGCUCAUCAAUUAACUUCUGCACAAUUAAAGCAGCAUAAAGCCAACAAAAAACCUUGCUUGACUUCUCAACCGCUUGACCCAUUACAGAUGUGACACCACCAACUCUAAUUAUCGACGAUAAUCUUCGCAUUAAGACCAACCAUAUCUGAAAAAGAAGAAGAAGAAGAAGAAGAAGAAGAAGAAGAGGUUAAAUAAAAUAUUCACUUAUCAGAUUUACAAAAAGAAUUACAAUAUAUAAAGAUAUAAACGUUACUUACCCAACUAAAAUUGUUCUGCGUUCUCAAUACACUCUUCAACAUCAAGCGGUACACGAACGGCUCUCAACCAAUCUUGAGUGCAAAUCAAAGCUUCCACUACUUUGGGAGUUAAAGAACUUUGAAAGCCAUCAAGCACACGACCCGAUGUACUAAAAGUUGACUCUGAAGCAAUGUUAGUUACAAGAAUGGACAAAAUAUCUCGAGCCAUCAAAGAAAUGAUCUUAUAUUUUGAGCCAUUAGUCUUCCACCAAAUCAAAAUGUCAAGACCAAGAUCCUUUUCAUUUUUUCUUGAAGAUACUCAUCAAGCUCGGACUUGUUGUUAUUGCACCCUUGUUCAUUCGAGUAUAAAAACAUUUUCUUCCAAGCUUGGCCGUCAUAUUUCUUUAUUCCUUCAUUACCACCCAUAUCGGUAUUGGAAUUGGAACUACUACUACUUGCACCCAAAUUAUGGUCACCAAAUUCUUGAUCACUUGAAAUAAGAUAAGAUUGUUCAUAAAAUUCAUACAAACGCUCCAAUGCAUCCUUUACCUUGUAAUGCAUCUCUUUAAUUUUCGAUUCAUCAUCAUAAAUUUGUCCAUACAAGAAACUCACAUAAUUUAACUUGGCUCUAGGAUCUAACACAAUCGCAAUCAACACCAUUAUAUUCACUUUAUUCAAGCUUUCAUAAUAUUUGUCAAAUUUUUCUUUCAUUUUCACACCCAUAGCUUGAAGCUUAGGAUACGAAGCAUUGACCGCAUCUUUCAAAUAUCUAUACAAAAGAGUUAUCCCUUCAAAAUAAUCAUUUGAAGUAACAUAUGAAAUCCCAAACAUCUUAUUAGUGGCAUUAUAGAAUACUUUUAGAAAAUCCGAAAGAAUAAUAGUAUUUUCUCAAUCAUCAUCACUAGGAGUUUCAUGAUUAAGCUCACUUACAAAAGAUAGAUCGUGAUCUUCCAUCCUUUCGAAAGCUUUUCUAAACUUUAUGGCGGUGCCUAACAUGAGGUAAGUGGAGUUUCAUCUAGUGGCGACGUCAAGAACUACUGAACCCUUAUAAGUGAAAUUUUCUCUCUCAAUGCAAGAUUGAAAUCAUUGGGCUCUCGUGGGAAAACUCCUUACAUACCUAACCACAUUUCAAAUACGUGCAAUUGAGUCAAAUGCCGUAGUUAAUCCAUCUCUCACAAUCAAAUUUAAUAUAUGAGUUGUACACCUCAUGUGCAAAACACUACCAUCUAAUAUCAACGACCUUUGUUUCGAAAAAUUUUCCCUCAAAUAGCUAAUUGUAACAUCAUUCGAGCUAGCAUUAUCCACGAUAAUUGUGGACACCUUUUUUUUUUUCUAUUUCCCACUCCUCAAUGCAUUUCUCCACCAUUUUCCCAAUCUCCUUACCCCUAUGACUAUUUAUCACCACAAAGUUCAUGAUUCUUUUAUGCAACUUCCAAUUUUCAUUAAUAAAAUGUGCAAUGAGACACAAAUAAUUCAGAUUUUGAUUGGAACUCCAUGUAUCAGUCGUGAGUACGAUCCUAGAAUUAAUCUUUUCAAAAUAAUUCUUCAAAUAAGUUAUUUCACAUAAAAACAACUUCAUGCAAUCUUUUACCACUGUGAAACGUAAUACAUGUUUGAAGAGAGGUUGUAACUCAGUAACAUAUUCACGAAAUCCAACACGCUCAACCAAAGAAAAAAGUUUGCUCAUCAAGGAUGAUGAACUGAGUAAGCAUGUGCCUACAACGUUCUUGAUUAAAUGACCAUAUCGAUAAGACACUACCAAUACUAGAAUCUUUUCCUGCCUUGCCAGCCAUGUUGACAUUACGUGGUACAAAGAAUUUAUGCAUCUUAUCUAUAUUAUGGUGAAACCUCUUGCAUGUGGUCAAGUGCUUCCUCAUUGCAGAAAUACCGUUAGCAACAUGGUACUUAAGCAUGGACCCACAAUGAAUACACUUCACUUGAUAUAUUUUUCCAUCAUUAUCACUGAUUCUCGAAUAAUGAUUCCAACAUUCGGAUGUAUAUUUCUUAUUAUGAGGAAGGUGAGAACUGGGUACCUUAUUUAUGGCACUCGAGGUAGAGGGUGCCUCUUAUUCAAUUUCAUCGCCAGAAAACUCAUAUUUCGUAAUCGGAGUCAUCUCCUCACAUCCCUCCACCUCCAUUGACGUGUUAUCUUGACACAUUAAUUUCGCACUACACAACAAUAAUAGAAUAUAAUUAGACAUUUCAAAACAGAAUAUGUAGGCAGCUACUAAAAACCAAAUCAAUACACAACUUUCCCCUCAAAAAAACGCUCUUAAGUAUUGUAGACAAUUAGCUUUUACUAAAUGAUAAUAAUCUGUGUAUUUUCAUAGAUGAUAACUCGUGCGCAAAUGACACAAGCUAAAAGGAGUCCAAUUUGAUCAUGCAUAUAUCCAUUAUGCGGCACAUUAUUAUCCUUCUCUUAUAUUACCUCUACAAUUAAGGACCAGCAAUCCAGAAAAGCCACCCAAAACAAAGAAGUUAAGCAUCUAGAUUGCCAAAAUUCAAAAACACCGGCUUGCCCAAAACAAAGAAUUGAUCAGAGCAGUUUCAUUGAGCAAGUAGUCAUAGACCACAACUUGCAUUUCUUUUCUUGUUCCAUUAAAUUGUGAAGGCAGUGACAACUUUGUUUUAUGUAGAAGUACCAGCUUUACUUGAGCAGGUUACAGAAGAAAAAUGAAAUGAAAUUUCUAAUGGGGGGAUGAAGCAUUCGGAUCUAAACCCACAAGAUGCUGCCACUGGUAUAAUGAUGCUAUCAGAACUCCAUCAAUUUGAAAUUGUCAACAUAAUGAUAUGGUACAUUAGAACUCCAUCAAUUUCCAGCAAAAUGAUGCUACAAAAUACAAAUGGCAACUCAAAAUUUGCUGCCAACAACUUUCUUAUCCAAAAUUUGAACUCCAAAAACAAUGAAAUUGACACCAGAGGGACUAUAAUCACUAAGCAAUCUAGUCUUAGAAAUUAGGAAUCAAUCACUCACUCCCUCCACUGGAGCAGGAAAUGAAAUUCACAGCAUUUGAUGGUAUUACCCCGAGAUCGUACCCUUGGAGUGAAGUUCCAGAAAUCCAAUUUCACCGGGCGAGCGGCGUCCAGCGCUGAGCAAGGACGUUGGUCACUGGUCUUUGGGGCAACAGCGUCAGGCAUCGUGACUGCUGGCGUCGGAUCAUCAGAGCAAAGGCGGAGACAGCAGUAGCGGCGUCGUGGGUAAGAAUCGGAAACCUAGUGACCAACAGCUACAAUCGGACGGCCUGAGGAUGGAAUCACGGCAGGAACGGUGGCUUCUAGCGUCUGGUUGCAACGGCGGUGGAGCAAAAGACGACCCAACAACAAGGGCAUCGGGGCUUUUAGCACGAGCAAGGACGUCGGUCGCUAGUCUUCGAGGCAACGGCAACAGGCAUCGCGACUGCUGGCAUCGAGUCGUUGGAGCAGAGGCGGAGACAGCAGCAAUGGCUUCGUAAGUCAGAAUUGGAAACCUAGUGACUAGUAGCUAGGGGUGUGCAUAGUCCGGGCGGGCGGUUCCCGACCUAGAACCGGAAAUUGCCCGCUAAGGACCGGUUCUGAAAAAUUGGAACCGGGAUCCACUCAUUUGUUGCAUGGAUCCACCUGAGAACCCGACCAUCGGUCCGAUUCAGUUCCCGGGUGGAUCCAUGGAGCCGAUCUUGAUGCGAAGGCGAGCUGUGGCGUCGCGGUCACGGGCGAGCGGGCAAAGGGCGCUCGUGGCAGCUGGCGCGGUGGUCAGCGCGGAGGCGAGCUAUGGCGUCGUGAGUCACUACGGUUUUGACGUUAGGCGACGGACGAGCUCGAUAGAUCGGGCUACGUCCGUUCGCCUCGCGCAACUCUGAGCCGAGAUCCUUGGGAAACCGACCCCAUAUCGGAAAAGUCGAGAACAAAGGGGGACGAAAUCUACCAUGAUUUUGACGUGAAAGAGAAGUCGAGGUGGGUCGUCGACUACGGUUCAAGCGCGGUGGUCAAUGGCAACUCUCCCUCACACUCUACCCUUACUCGCAGCUCUCAGAUCUCACUCAAUCUCCCCCUCUCUUUUCAACGUCUCACAGAUCUCUCUCUCUCUCUCUCUCUCUCUCUCUCUCUCUCUCACAUCAUCUCUACUUGACCCCCCUUCAUUGAACUCCAGGAGGCCCUAUUUAUAGGCUGAAGGGUCCGGUCGAUAGGGGCAUUUCCAGAAGGGUCUGGUCGACAGGGGCAUUUCCACUGUCAGUCCUGGGCACGCCAACCGGCCUCCCUCUUGGCCGAACCGGCAUCUCAGCCUGUCUUCUCCGCGUAGGCCUGCUCGGCAUCAAAGGCGUCCGCCAAGACGUCCCCUCCGUCCGGGUUUCUCACCGGAUCUCGCGCUGCUCUGUUCGGCAGCAUCGAUGGCUCCUGCGAGGUGUCCCCUCCAUCGUCGGUCUACCCUCCUCUCUCUCUACCCUAGGUCGUCCUGCGUGCCUUUAGUCUUCACCAAGCGUGGUGUCCACUGUCCAACACGAGGAAGGAAGGAGGAAGAAGAAGAGGAGAGGCCCGGACUGCGGAAAAGAUGAAAAAUGGAUUGGGCCAGCCUGCGUGAAGGAAAAGAAGAAAAGAGGGGAAAAGAGAGAAAAUUGUCCGGUAUCGCUAGGGUUUGUUUUAGUAUUUUUUUUAAUAUUAAAUAUUAAUCGGUCUGGUCCGGGUGGGCGGGUGAGCGGAUCCGCCCAUGGAAUUGGGAACCGGGAACCGGACCGGUUCCCUCAAGAACCACCGGUUCCCUCAAGAACCACCGGUUCCGAGGGUUCCAAUCCGAUUUCGGGCGGUCCAAGAGGUUCCUGGGUAUUUUGCACACCCCUACCAACAUCUACGAUCGGACAACCUAAGGACAGAAUCGUAGCAGGAACAGUGGCUUCUACCGUCUGGUUGCAGUGGCGAUGGAGCAGAGGAGGACCCAGCAGUAGAGGCGUCGCGACUUCUGGCGCGAGUAGAGGCGGUGGGUCGCGAGCGGAGACGAGCUCGGCUCAAAUCUUCCUGCGUCGGGUAGUUGCGGCGAGCAAGAGUCAGAGCGGCGUUGGCGACAGGCAGAGGCAGAGCACGGCAACGACGGGCGUCGAGCGGCAAGGGUUCGCGCGAGCGACGUCAGCAACUAGCGUCUGGCGACAAUGGCUUUGAGGGCAAGCGGUGUCCGGCGACGAUGGCCUUGAGGGCGAGCGGCGUCCGGCGGCGAAACUCAAAGCGGCGUCCGAUAGCGUGAGUUCUCUCCCAUAAAUCUGAAAGUCUGGACUCGAGAGCACCAAGCAGGGGAGGGGGGGCUCAUUUUUGAACCCUAACUAACCGGUUCUGGUUCCGGUUCCGCGACCGAUUCCGGUUCCGAUUCCGCGACCGGUUCCGGUUCCAAUUCCCAGAAAAAAGGAACCGGGAACUAGAAUCUGGGAACCGGAACCGGUCCUUUAAGAACCGGAAACCGAACCAGAACCGUGCUCACCUAUAGCUGCGACCCCGCCAGCCUCUCUUUAGCUUGUUGUUGGCCUCUUGUAGCCACAUGCAACCACACCAAUUGACCCCAAUGGAGAAAAAGAUGAACAAGCACAAACAAGGGUCAAACUGGAAAAAAAAACGAUGAUAGUUUUGGAAGAUUUUUUUUUUUUUUUAACAAACCCUAUGCUUCUUGCAUGCCGAGAAGGUUGACUUUUCCUCAAGGUGGGUGUCAAGAAUUUUACUAAACACCCAAUAUUUGAUCCGAAGAGAUAUGGAUGCCUAAAGUCCCUUCCCAAAGUCUUUUCUAGACGCAACCUUAAUAACUAGCCCCACACAAGUUAUAAAACCGGGUCCUUUGAGCAUGGUCUUGUAUGCCGAGACUCAGACGUUCCGGCCGUUCAAUAGGACCGAAGCAUCGUGCGACCUUUCUGCCUAAUGAACGAAUAGAUUAACACAAUCUUGUUUGACAUUGCUUGAGGCGAGAUUAAGGUCGACGGGUAGCACACAGUGACGGGGGUUAUAAACCUGCACCUGGCCAAUUUCCCCGUCCUUGCGGACGAGCACCAGGAGAUCCUGGAAGACACUCGAGUUUCCACUAGACCGAACAAUGUCGAUUUGAGUCGGAUCGUGCAUUUUUGUGUCGCUAUCUUUGCAUUCGUUUGAAGACCUGUCAAGCAGUAUCACUUCUCCGGCGAGAUGGUUGGAUGAGCCGACGGAGAUGCUUACGUUUGGUGAGUCAAAGAGGACGUAUGUUCGAUCAAACUGGAGGAAUUUGAAGAUGAUUCUUCGUUUGUUCGCAUGCCUUUCAAGCACGUCUUCCGUAGGGAGUGUAUGGCUGAGUGCUACGAGAGGAGAAACUUAAUACUUAUGUCCACUUUGCCGCCCCGAAGCUAUGCACACUUAUUAGCUAAUUAAUUCUAUUUGUUUAUCCCCUACAUUCACAGUUAAUAGGGAAAAUGAUAAUUAUAAGCGCCUUUGAACCGAGUACAGAUGUACAUUUCUUGUAUAAUAAUUUCGUUGCAAGCCAGACUUUUUCACUCUGUUUGCUCAUUUCUUUUACUGAUUACAUGUUCGCAUCGUUGGGAAGUACUAUGAUUCCGCAAGAUGUUUCAAAUAUAUGCCUUUUUCCAUAGAAUGCAUAUCCAUCGGCCAUCAGUACAUGAAAGUAUCUAUAAAUACUAAACAGGGGCAGUAUCAUCUUCCUUGACGUAUAGAGAGCUCGGAGCUUUAUUAUUCACACACUUUCCCUUACAUACUGCACUAGCUAGGAGGAGCAACAUAUGGCACUUCAGUAGUUUUCUAGUUUUUUCGGGGUAUUUUACUUUCUUCUUUCUGUCGGCCGUCGUGACAAUGCUACUUCCCAUGAUCACUGGGGCAGCCAUGGCUGCCAUGCCCAUGGUUGUGGUCAUCACCAUCGUCAUCGUCAUCGUCAUCGUCAUCGUCAUCAUCAUCAUCGUCGUCGUCGUCAUCAUCAUGAUCAUGGUCGUCGUCGUCGUGAUGGACACAAGCACUACGGCUGUACCCCUUCCCAAGACUACCGUAGCCUUUCCCGAGCCCAUAUUCCUUCAUGCUCUCUUACAUGCGCACAAAAAUUCAACAGAUUAUAUAUAUAUGAAGUACGUAUACAGAGAAGAUAGAUGAAGUAGAGUGGAAACUUACGAGAUGAAUUAGUCUCCUCGACAAGCUCGCGAGCUGCAGCCUCGUAAGAGGAGACGAGAAGAAGCAUGGCGAAGACAAGGCCACAGAGCACAAAAACCCUAGAGGAAGCCAUUCCUCAGUGCACCUGAAGGCAGUGAAACAAAGAACUCGAGUUUGCUCUAAGUGAUGAAUAUGAGGAUCGAACUUGCAUGGUAAGGUCACCUUAUAUAUAUAGCCUCAGAAGCGUAGAGAAAGGAACUUGCUGGCGGACCAAGCAAAACGAGCGUAGCCUGUUAGAUCUUACCUAUAGUAAGAGGAUUGUCUUCUUAUACAAUACACAUAGUUUGGAUUUAUCUAACAACACACAUAGUUUGGAUUUAUCUAACAACUUGGCAAGUGACAGCCUUAGACUGCAAAAAAAUUCUGGCGAGAUGGUUUCGUAUGGUCAUAUAAAAGGUCCUGGAUACUAAUGGUUCCAAGGUUAUUAGGAUGCAUUCGCGGAUCUUGACAUUGGCACAUUACGAGAAACGACAAGUUCAACGUUUAGUCCCGAAAUUUUCUUAUUUCGGCAUCCAGAAUGAGAUCGACUCAAGUUGUUCAAGUAAGCUUGAGUGGGAAAAUUGAACCUUGUGGGAUGUGAUCAAUCCUAAAUCGGUUAAAAGUUUAGGUCACCUACCGCUCUACAGUUUACCACAUUUGUGCAAGGCAUUGUAUAGGCGGACAUGUAGAAACGCGCAAUCUUUUUUUUAACAUGCAUGGAUGAAGAACAAAAUUUUCAUUGCUAGAACUUCUUUAAGGGUUCUAACUAUUAUUUUGUUAUCAAUCUCACAGCGAUAACGGAUUACUCUAAAUCAAUUUCAGACAUGCAUACUUACAAUGUUGCAAGUAUUGUCGUUUUGGUGCUAUUGAGGGUUGUUAAUUGAGCCACGGUAACAUAUAUCUUUUCAGAUGACCAGCAAACAUGAACACACAUUGUACGCACGCAAGAAAUCAAAAGUCGAAACAUUAAGCAAAAUUGUCUUUUUUCUAAAUAAUUGGAUGCUAUGUACAUUACAUAUAUCAAUACAUAUAUCAAUUGGUUCAUUAAAUAAAGAAAAAAAAGUUGGUAAAACUACCCGAUCCAAUGAAAUUGCAUAUGGAGAAAGAUAAUUUUCCUCCUAAUCUAAGCCCAAACGAAAGCAAAAGUAGAAAUCUCGACCAGCCAUUAGUGAAGUCCUGCUAAAAUGGUAAGGUAGCUUGCCUAUUGGAAAAUAGAUACAAGUACUUAAGACACUUCAAUGGACAUGUGAAGCUGGAGCUUCAUACGCUCACUUGCUCAGGUGAGCCAGUAGGAAUAUCAUCUCCGUCGACGCAUAAAGCUGGAAGCUUCGGUUUGUUGGUCACUCACACACAUUCCAUAUACAACGCACAGGAGUAUGUACUAGAAGCAGCAACUUAAAACUCAGAAGGUAUCUAAUUACAUUCUCGCUGUCUUUACUUCCUUCUAUGGGUUGCCUUUGUAGCCAGGCUAUUUCCCAUGCGCCAUGGCCGUGGCCAUGGUCAUGGUCGUGCUCAUGAUUGUUGUCGGGUUCAUUGUACUAUAUGUACUACAUCUCAUCAGUAUAUCAUCUGCAUAUGUAAUAUAUGAUGUUUUUGUUGGAGAAAUCCUCUUGAAGUGUUUUGAAGUUGACAAAACGUUUCCAUCAGUCUAGUCUGAAGGCUUGCAGACUCUACUAUUCAAAGUCUGAAGACCUCCGAACAGCCAGACUCAAGACUCAAAGUCUAUCCUCAUUGACAGUUUCUAAUCCGUUGAAGAAAGGCUAUCCAAAACUGGAUGUUUCAUUAAGAAUGUGACCUUAUCGACUGGAGAAGAUCUCUUGGCUGGAUAUGACAUAACGGAAUCCUUUGUUUGAUCAUAAUUGAUUUUGAAGAUUAAGGAUCCGAUGAUUGGCAAAGUAUACUUGGAAUGUUCUACUUAUGGAAACCGAGAUCCUGAUUGUAUGGGCGAACAGGAUUGAUGGGCUAUCGACAUGUUCCUUUAAUAGCUUGAAUGAUCUUCCUAAUUGAUUCCAUCCAACGGGUAGAUUGGAGGAAUUCCUUUGGAAAGUGCCAACGGGUAUGAAGGCUAUAUUCGUGAGAAACCUUGAGGAAGUGUGGUAGAACAUCUACACUGUGGAAUCAAGGAAAAGCUGUGCUGUAACUUCUCUUUUGUUCAUAGUGAAAUCCAGCCGGUGGGCUGUCAGUGCGGAAGAGUGGACGUAGGCUUGGAAUAAGCCGAACCACUAUAAAUCUUGUGUUCAAUUUUCUCUUCCCUAACCUUUACUUUACUUUGAUCGUAUUUUCAUUUCUAUCGUUUGCCUAGAAUUGCUUCCGUAUCUCGAGAAAUUGUUUGUGCACCUAUUCACCCCCCUCUAAGUGAUUAUACUAACUAUCUCAGUUUUUUCCUAGUAGAGAUCAGAACUAUCACAUAGGUGAUGGGAUUCAAAAUUCCACUGCCAAGUUUCUGUCAAAUCAUUUCAUUCGAAUGAGAUAAUAUUUACGUGCCCGGAUUUCCCUGACUGUCACGGGCUUCUCAUCGUAAGAAUGACGAGAGAUGAUUACUUCAUAAGAAACAUUAGUAGGGAGUGCCAUUUGAUCAUACAUACGAACCAUGUAGAGAAGUCCGGGGGAAGCGAUAUCAACGAGAUGAAUGAGUUGCCUCGGCAAGUUUGCAAGCUGAGAUCAUAAGAAGCACCGCAACGAGGAGGCUGCAGAGCAGAAAAACCUAGUGGAAGCCAUUUCUCAGUUAAAUUGAAGCAAAGACUGAGUUUGCUCCUGAUGAAGAAUGAUUUGCACAAAGUCGCACCUUCGUUAUAGACUCCAAAGAGCUCGUGGUGGGACAGGGUAUAAACAUGUGCGUGCUAGCAGUGGAAAAUAUUUAUUAGAUCCAGGAAAAUAUUGGAUUUCACUUCUACGUAACCACGCCGUUUCAAUUAUAUAUAUGUGAAGACUUGAGUACACUUUAAAACUUGUAAAAUAAUAUAGUAUUCCUAAAGAUCAACAAUUGGGCAUACACAGUAAGACCUCAUCUUCCUAACUUUGAAUUCUUCUUAUGGAUGAGUUAUAAAUAUGGACAUCACCCACAUUUAUUUAAAGUUAAGUUUUCAUGUGAGAGAUGUCCAAUUGGUUAAACAAGAAUUAAUUUCUCAAAUAAGAGAUCUUACAUAUAAUAAAAAUUAUUAUUGUUAUAUAGGGGUUAAACAUCACGUUCUGUGUACAAAAAUAUCAUAACAAUCCAUCAUUUUGGAACGUAUCAAUCAUACGUGUUCUUUCUAAUCAGGAGGAAUUAAUGCAUAUUCUUCAAUUAUUCUUCAUAUUAAAUUAUGGCAAAUCAAAACAACAGAAGAGAUAUAAGUAUUCCAAAGUCAAAUAUUGUAGAUGUAAGUCCAGCAAGAAACUUUCAGCGACAGGGUUUUUGACGAUCACGAUCAAUAAAAUGGCCUCCAAGAUUAGAUAGUGACGUGCCGUCGUAAAAAAAGUUGACGCUUGGUCCAUAUAUAACCUUAUCUUAGCUUCGAGAUUUAGAUCAACAUGAAGUUCAUAUAAGUCAGCCUCGGUGGGGAACUUGAGAGGCAUGUGGCAAAUCGGUUUAGAUUUAGGUCAUCUAUCGCUUUCCUCUGCACCUCAUCCAUGUAAACACACAUACAAAUAUGCAUACGUGAAGGGCUCUAGAUGUUCUUCAUGAAUACAGACGUAUGAUAACCUAAAUACUAAUUAUAUGAUAUCCCUCCGAAAUAAUUUACAAUAUACGCGAUAGUGCAAUGAAUUUGGUCAUACAUUAUAGUUGAUUCUUCAACAUGUGCUAUCAAAUAACAGCCGUAACAAAAACAAUUACCUGAAUAUAUUAUAUUCACAUAUAUAUCUUGUAUCAUUUGCUUAUAACUUGAUAUUUUUUAAAUGAUUGCAUACUCAAUCGAUAAGUUCAAGGUACACGAUGUCCGUAAGGAAUUCUCUUAUCUUACGCAACAGUUCAUUGUUUUAAGAUGGUCUCAUCGCUUUUACGUUUUUGUCACUUCAUCCGCAGUGAUUGGAGCAAUUCUUUUUAUGCUUUGAUUGGUAUCACACGAAACAUAUACAUACAACUAUACAAGUAAAAGCACCUUGGAGUCUGUGGAUAAAGUUAUACGACUUGACUCAGUCAAAAUUAAGUUCCUUUAUUAUUAGAGGAUAAGGUAAAGACCUUGCAAAAUGGCAAUCUAAAAUUAAUUACGUUGAAAGCAACACGCAGAUAUCAACAAUUUGAAGAUUUUACAUUCAAAAGCGAGUGCUUUUUGUCCCAAAAAAAAUAUUGGCUUAAUAUCAACAUUAGCUGUACAAUCCUUGCCUUGCUGUUUCUCACAUCCUACUUUUACUUUCUCAGAAAAAAGAAAAGAAAGAAAGAGUACGCAAUGAGAGAUAAUGACAAAAGGAUAUAGGUUGAGUAGAAAUGCAUUUCCGCACCGGGUUUCAUUUCGAUUAGAGACACACGUGAUAGACUGAGUAGACAAGAAGAUUUUUGCACCGUAAUGUCCUUUUCGGGUUCUAUAUUGUUGCAAAAGCCCACUACAUGGGACAUUUACUUUUGAAUUAAAAAAUUUGCGACAGGCAAUCUGCAAAGAGCCAUAUUUUCUUGCAUCGUUGAUCGAAGGAAAGUUUCUUCAUUCAUACCUUUGACUAGUGUAUCGCACCUUACAAGUCAUGAUAUUAUAAAUAUUAUCACCACAUAAAAAAAAAAAAAAUAAACGAGAGCACCAUUCAGAAGUUCAGUUGAAGGAAUUUCCCUGAAACCAGGGUUGGGGAAAAACAUGGGCUAUUUGCAAAUCCGGAUGAAUGAUGCUUGAUGCAACGGUGACGUGAAAUACUUUCACACGUUCCGGUUGUUGAUUUUCCAGUUGGUUAUUCAUAAAAUAAUGGAAACCUGAGUAGACGUUCCUCCGCAGUCACCAUGUCCAAAGUUGAAACAGGUGCAUAAUCAUUCUAAGAGCACAAUACGUACCCGCUAGUAUUUAUUGAAUUAAAACAUAACCAUGCGUGCGUGCAUAACUUGCACUUACUUUGGGAGUCCUCAUGUCUAAUAUACGUUCUCAUACCCUGAGCUGAAUCCGACGUCUCCAAUAAGAAAAAUAUGGGAAACUCGAGAAAUAGCACUUGCUAUACAGAGCUAAGGGAUAGAAUUUGUCGCCAAUUAAAGUGGGUUUUAUUCAUUCACAUGCAAACACCAGUGGACAUUUGAGACGACUCGUACUUGAAAUCACCAAAAGAACAAUCUGAAACGCAACAAAGCUGCUCAUGACAGUGGAGAAACCAUUUUAUCCAACCAUUAUUGCAGAAGCUUUUAAGCUUCUACGAGUUACAUGGCAUACAUUCUCCUACAUUCCCAGCAGGAUGAUGGACCCAACUGAGUCCAUUAUCUAGUUCUUGACAUCUUCGGUUUCUUCCGAAGGGUGACCACCAUGAUGACCACCGUGGCCGUGACCGCCGUGGCCGUGACCCCCGUGACCGUGACCGCCGUGGCCCUUUUCAUAGCCACCUUCAUACCCCUUUCCACCGUGGCCGUGUUCACCAUAUCCUUGGCCGUAGUUAGCCUCUUUCACGCUCUCCUCUGAAAUAUAAAGGCAGAGUAUGUGAUCAUAUCUGAGUCCACUAACAGAUAACAUGUAAUCUAACUUACUGUGUAUGAAUACGUAGAGUAGUAAGUUAAGAUCAACUUUUGAAACUGCUACUGUUUUGUUGACCUCUUUAUGAUGUACGUCACAUCUUAAUAUUCUACAACAUACCUUUCUCAAAAUUCAUAAAUUAAUUAAUCUACCGUGAACAACGGAAGCUAACAAGACAUUGACGGAACUCUCAUAAUCAAGUUUGCAAUUCGUUUCGUCUAUCGCCUCGAUAAAAACAUUUCUACAAAUAAUUUUCCAUGAUUAUUUGUCUGUCUGCCUUUAACAAACACGAGUGCUUCCACGACGGACAAUCACACGGAAACAUAUAUACACGUCAAAAGUGAGAAUGCGUUUCCCAUCAAACUGAAGAGAACUAGGUCAGUAAAUUGAGGGAAGACUCCAUUGUCGAGAGCACUCACGUGACUGAGUCUCCUCAGCAAGGUCACGAGCCGAGACCUGCGCGGCCAUGAGAACGAGAACGGCCAGAAGCAGGCCGCACAGGAGGAAAACUCUGGAGGAAGCCAUUUUCAUCGCUCAAGGC